rnacentral:lncRNA from 1 species
UUUUUUUUUUUUUUUUUUUUUGUUUAGCUAUCUUUUUCUUUUCCAACAUUAGCUUUGAAAUCUAAUAAUUCUUUUUCAUAAAACUGAGAACAAGAAUGCGGCUAAUUUUAUGCUAUUAUUUUUUUUUUUUUUUUUUUAAAAGAUACAUAAAACCAUCAAGGUUUCUGAAAUGACUUAUUCUUAUACUUUUAUUUCUUUUAACUACAAAGAGAUACUAGAAGAUUCCAAAUUCUAAACCAUACCUAAACAUGACCAUUGUGGCUUACAAAAUAAAAAUAAAUAAAUAAAUAAGAAGACUAUUAUGAUUUUGGAAUUUUGUAUCCCUCAUAAAAUGACAAAUCAAAAGGAAAAAUACAAUUUAUUUUGAAAGAAGACACAAAAUAAUAAAUUUUAAGACUUGUAAGAAAUAAAAUUCAAAAAAUAAAUUUAAAAAUGACAAAACAAGCCAAUCAUGUAUGAUAUUCUAAUUCUCCUAAUUAAACAAAAUGUACGUGCUUGGUUUCCUACAUUUAUUUUUAGUGAAAAGGUUAGAUAUGUCAUUUAGCAUGUGAAUCCCCUUAAAAAUAACUUUUCAAAAAAUGAAAUGAUGAAUGGAUUCAUUAAGUAGCUUAUUUCUUAUCCAUAUUAACGAGUGCCCAUUGGACAUCCGUUACAAAAUCUCUUAUUUUAUUAUACAUAUAUGAUUAACACACAUAAAUAGAAGAUGUCAAUCUUAUCAUUGUUUAUGAUUCAAAAUAUGCGUUAAUCUGUAUACACUAAUGGUGUUACACUAACAUGCUUAUAUGCGUGCCACCUGAUUCCAAUUUGAAUUUAAAAUUUUAUUUUAAAUUAAAUAUACCAAUGUGUAAUUUAAACCUAAAAAUAUAAUAUAUCAAUGUGUAUGUGUGUUUUACUAUAUAGGUAAUAUUUAUUGCUGCAGAAAAUUGAGAAAGUAAACACCAAAACAAAUACACAUUUUUAAUAUAAUAUGUACAAUUUAUAUUCCUUUGAGAAUAUAUUUCUUGAUUAAAGCUAUGUUUUAUGCCAUUUUCAUAGGAACAUAUUAAAAUGUAUUUGAACAACAGGCGAGAGACCUUGGUCUUGUAGUUAAGUUGAGGCAUCAGGAAUUUGAGCUUCUGGUUCAAAUCUCCUUGUUCGCUCUCCAUUCUUGAGUCUUAUCCUUCCCUUAUUGAAAAAAAAAUAAAAUGAGGAAUAUAUUUUCACCAGACUUGAUGCUUUCUUAAGUUCAUUCUCGAUAAGAUUUAGGUUAUACAUAAUUGACGUUCCAGUAUGGUAUCUGUUCAAUUAACUUAGCAUAUCUAGUUUUUUUUCAACCCUCCCAUCCCUCCACUCACAACACCAAGUAUAAGAUUGAACUCUAAACUUGACAGUAAAAAGACUUUAAGAGGUCUCCCUUGACCUCUAGACCAACCCCAAUAGUUAACUUAGUAUAUGUAGAUUCUUCAUUCAAUAUUAGGAAUUUUAUCCCAUUUAAAAAUUUUGGAGCAAACAUUAUUACCCCGAAUAAGUAAAAAUUAGAUUUAUGAGCCCCCAUAGGUAAGUCAUUCAAGGAAAAAAUGGUAUUUUGACGAGAAACGUACACCAGUGGUAAUGUAUAUACGUCGAGGGAAAAUUUAGUUUAAACCUAUCCAUUUUUACAUAAUUCCAUAAUUUAUAAGUGUCAAACCCUCUUAUCGUUAACCCAACCAAUGGGGUGCCUUCAAAUCGUGAUGGUUGGAUGCCAUCUCGAUCUGACCAAUUCUAUCAAUGUUAAUUUUCAUGGUACUAUUUUUCCUGAUAUAAAAGCAGCUGGAUAUAUACGAGUCCUGUUAAAGGACCAUGCAGGCAAUAGUCUUAAAUGGUCUGUUCAAAACUUUUUGUGCAUUACUGAUCCAGUUGUUGUAAGGUUUCUUGCACUAAAGGAAGGCAUCGACUUGUUGUUCUUAACUCUUUUGAUGAUCAUUCGAUUGAUAACAACUCAAGCACUUGAAAGAUGUGUAAACUGAUGUUGGCAGAAGUUUUUUUUUUUUUUUUUUUUUUGGGAAAACGUUGUUUUAUUGCAUUGCUAAAAGGCAGAGAACAAAGAGUUACAAGCUACAACUGUCUCAAGGUGCGACAAGAGGGCUACUCCCUCCCCCGGGGAAUGAAUAGAAGGGGUUCCCCUACUAUCCAAAAGCAUCAUAACUCUAACCUCCCUCAGGAGUUGCUGAAAAGUCGUGCUGUAAAAAUCACCCUGGAUAGCCAUCGUUGCCAACUUAUCUGCUGCGGCAUUCGCCUCUCUGAAUAUGUGCCUAGUUGUGGCAUUGAAGCUCUAAAGCAGGGCCUGAAUCUACCGUAACGAGUUACAUAACAGCCAUUUUGCCAAAGCCCCUGAGUCUAACAAAUGAACAAGUCCCGCCGGAUCCACCUCCACCAAUAACCGUGGAAUCCGAACUCUGGAACAGAAGAGUAAAUCCUGCAACAAUGCCUUACUCUCAGCAGUCAGCAGUACAUCGACCUCCCCGACUCUUUAUAGAAUGCAAAAAUCAACCUACCCUCGUGAUCCUACGCAAACCUUCCCUAAUACCUUCUCUCAUGUCACACUGGCAUCCGUAUUUAGCUUUGACCGCACACUCUAGUGGCGGCAACACGAGGUCACAAGUGCCUCGCCACCUAUGGCUUCCAGCUGAUAGCUAAACGAGCCCAUGGGUCAUCGAGUCACCCUGUUUGCAGAAGUUGAAUCUUAUGUUUUAUAUGAGGUGUGGAAUACAUUAUAAUGAUGUAGGUCACUCUUUCUCUAGACAUGCUUGAUUUAUUGGUACUCAAAAUAUUUGGAGCAAGGUAUUCUUGCCUUUGUACAUCUUGCUCUUAUGGCUGAUCUUGACUUUUUGUAAUAUAUUUUUCUUGUUUUUCAUAAAAGAAAUUGUCUCUUAUCAUAGCUUAUUAUGUACUUUCGACUAUAAAAGAUGGGUAGUUACGGGAGGAAAAAAAAAAACUAUGGAAGAUACUUAUGUACCGUGCUUCCCUCUGUAUUGUUAGAACAUUUCUUAUACACUCUCUAGUCAUGAUGUACAAAUAGACUUGCAUAAUAACAGUACCAUAUUUUAGGUAUUUUAAUUAGAUAAUAGGUAUUUACUUAAAAUAAACUCAAAAAAAACAAAAACAGUGUUCCUUACUGAAAGGGAUAAAUGUAGAAAUGUUUAAUAAAUAAUUUGACACGUAUUUCUUUUUAUAAAAAAAAUUUUGACUUCAACAUUUACACCUCAGCUUUAGAAACUAUAUAUAUUUUGUAAAAAUUACGUGUUACUUCUGACUUUGGUUAUUCGUGAUUUAAAUAGGCAGAUAAGACAAUAUUGUACACCUAUAUCAAUAAAUGAUCUAAGUGCUAUAUUAAAAUUUCCGGAGGUUAAUUAAUAUGGCAGUUAUGAGAACUUUUAAUAUUUUACUUGGAUGGGUAGUUUAAUUUUUUUUCUUCAGAAUAUUAAAGAAGAGGUAAUAUUCUGAAGAAAAAAAGCAACAUAAUCCUUAUAUAAUUAGAUUCAAUACAUAUAUUUUACUUAUGUUUCUCCUCAAGAUCUAAGAUUGUUGUUAAUACUUAAUUUUUUUCACAUUCAUCAACUGUAUUUUCUACAUGUUUUUAAGUGCACUAUCGUUGAAAAAUAAAUUCAUAUUCUACAAUUCUCACAAAAACAUAUUACUUUUAUCACAUAUCUAAAUCUCUUGUUCUCUUAUUUUUCAAAAAUAUUUGUUUUCUUUUGCAUAUAUUUUAUGUAUUUUGAGUGAAUUGUAUAAAUCAAUUUGAGUCAGUUGCAUAAAUAUGAAUUCUUAUAAAUAUAGAAAUGCAAAAAUAAUUAUGAAAAGCAAGGGGGACCAGCCUACAACCACUUUUUUUUUUUUUGGGCAUAAUAGCUAAGUUUACUAUGACACACAAAUUUACGUUAAAAUCUUUUGAGUAUAUCUAGUACUACAGGAAAGAGUUUGAAUUACAAUAUACUUGAAGUUAUACAUAAUAAUAAUGUUUUUAAUUGGUACACAACAUAAGUGGUAUAUGAUUAUUAAACUUAAUUUGGAUUAUUCUUUUGAUGUAAACACGAAUAUGUCUUUAUAGAUCUAUUAAUACUUGUCACUUAGGAAUUUGAAAUUAGCAAUCCUUUUUCCAUUUUUUGGCAUUAAUCCUUCUUCCUCAAAACAAACGAGCCAAUUCUUGAUCUAUAGUUAACUCUUGUCCAUUUUUCUCACUUAAAUAACUCAUAGAUCAAGUUCGCAUUUCUUGUUAAAGUAUUUUGCUUUUGCAUUUAUUCCUAUGGGACAUGAUUAAAAUUUGCUGAACCUUUCAAGAGUACAUAACAGUUAAAUUAUUUAGAGAUCAAGUUAGUAUAACUAAUCAAACUAUAAUAUAUCAUUAUCCCUAUGAUUUUCUUGUGGGGAACAGGAAAAAAAACUCAUGCUAUCAAAACACUUUUCACUAUCAUCCUGGCAAUAAAUUUAAUUGCAGUCAAAUUCAUCCCAUUGGGAUAACAAAUUCCACUAAAUAGACCAAGAAGAGGACACAUUAUAAAUUCCCACUAGACAUAUAAGAAGGCUAUUCUGUUAUACAUCCUGUAAGCUGAUUACAUGGAUUGCACAGCAGCAACAAUGCCUUGCCUAGUUGUUGUUGCAUUUCACCAACAAAAGAUUACAAAAAUAUAACAUACAAUAAAAUGGACAUGGGAAUCAUGGAGAACCAAAAAGCUAGAUCUGCCGAUGGUUCAGGCUGCAUAUAAUAUGGAAAUAUUAGUAUGGCUGAUAUCAUGAGUACAGCCAGAAAAACCAAAGCACAGACUUUGUUGUCUCUUGCCAUCUAAUUGCUCUAUUAUCAGGGAUGGAGGGAAAAUGAUGAAGCUAGGAAAGAUCUUAAACUACUGCCUGUGCAGUGGACAUUGAGAGGUUAUCAGUCAACAUAUAUAUAUAUCCUAAGUUGGUUGAUAUUUAAUCCUAUUUUUUUCUUGCUAUCAUAUUGCUGAUUAGGAAUGUAAUAAAUGAAUCAAUAUAGAGAGGGAAACUGCUAAUAAAUGUUGGAUUAGGAUGGGGAACUAAAAGUGUCUAGGGUCAUUCAAUGCAGUGUUGUUAGAUCUGGAUUGGACUGAUCGGUUCAACCAGUUGACCGUGAACCUACCUUCUUUCCGAAUUGAUUUGUAGCACAAAAUUAUUUUGGUCAAAAUCCAAUCAAAACCGUCAAAAACUGGCUAAACUAGUAAUCCAGUUCAACUGGUUGACCCGAUUCUCAAAUUUUCUUUCUUCUUUUCCCAAAAAUAAUUUGAAUUACCACUUAGUGUAAAUACCAAAGUCACUCACUUUCCUGAAUGAUCUUUAAAUCAAGAUGUUUUCAUCCUUGUCAUAUUAUCAAUUUAGCAUCAGUGAUUCAAUUUGCAUUAAUUUAUUUUAAUUUAGUUUUUCAAAUAGUUUUGGAGAAUGGACAUAUUUUAGCCAUGAAUUUACAUUUUUAUAUAUAAUUAUUAGGUUUAUAGUUGAUUGCAAGUCUAAUAUUUUUGGAACAUUCUUUAUGAUUGGCCGAACAUAACCAAGAACUUAAUUUUAAUAUUUCUAAAACUUAUUAAAAUAUAAAAUAAUUAUGAUAUUAUGCUGACAUCAACUGGUUUUUGAGAAUGGUUCAACUAAUCGACUAGUUGGCCCCUAACACAAUAGUUUUGCUGAGUCACUAUCUAGCCCGAAUUUAACAACAUUGAUUUAAUGUGACACAUCUACAAAAGGGAUUUGGCCUCUCUAUAUCACACUCCCUCCCCAUUUCUUUAGUACUACUUUGGAUGGCUGCAACAUAGAUUUACUAUCUAUUAGAACGCCAAUUCAUAUGAUAACUUAGUUUCUAACUAAAGUUAAUUUGACUCAUAUAAUCAUAUAUACCCACCGUCACCACAAAAAAUAGAAAACAUUUUUAUUUUUCAAUUUGAAAUUCACAGUCAACCCACAAUAGCACUUUUUCCUAUAAAGUCAAUUGCUUUUAAGUCAAAAAAUAGUUAAAUAAUUUUUUAUUUUUCACAGAUUUUAGGAUAAAAAGCUACUAGCAUAAUUUUACAUACUUUAUUACGUUGUAUGUACUAUUUUUUUUAUUGUUUUAACAAGGUUACUCUUUCCUUUGACAACAAAGAAAAAAACACCUUUACCUUCUUUCUUAUUUUAUCAUAAACUUAGGUUAUCUCCAUUUGGAUUAGUUGUUUUUUGGAGUGUUUUAAAAAUAUUUUACUGUACCAGUGUAUAUGAAAAACUUUUAUUAUAGAUAUUUUUUUUUUGUGAUGUUUCUGGAAUAUAUUUUGUGGUAUUUUUUAAAAAAAAUAUUGUUAUGGUACUUUUUAAUAAUUAAUAAUACCACCCACAAUCACCACCCCCUUCUUGCUUCCGCCACCACCUCCUCUCUCUUCCCCUUCUCCUCUUCCUCCUUCCCUCUUCCCUUUCCUUCCAACCCCCAGCCCUCCCUUGCCCCCUCAUGAUUUGAUCACGGCCAGAUCGCAACCAGAACGAGGGAGGAGGAAAAGGGAGGGGUGGGGGUCGCGGCGCCGGUAGCAGUGGUGGUAGGUGGUGGUGAUAGGUGGAAAAUAUUGUAAAAUUUAUUUUUUAAAUUUUUUGUGUAUAUUUGUGAGUUGUUUUUGAUAUGUUAUGAGAUGUUUUUUGAGUUGUUUUUAUUUGUAUAUUACUGUAAAAUUGUAUUUAAAAAACUAGUUUUUGAAAAAUAGGCCAAUCCAAAUGGAGCCUUAGGUAAAUGGCAACACUUAAAAAUAAUGCUUAGCUUACUUUUUUUUUCCUUUUUCCUUUAUUGGUUUCUCCUUAUUAAUUCCAUACUGGAGCACGGAAAUCAAUAAAAUUAGCCUCCAUAAUUGGAUUAGUUGUAGUAGAAUAACAGAAAUGGAUGUUAGAUGAGUCAAAAAGCUUGCAAAUGAUUAAAAAGGGCGAGGAGUUUAUGGAGUUCAAUUUUCUGUUUAGGUUAUCUAGAGAUAAGAAGGUAGGUUAAUAGAAAAGUAAUGUGAGCGAUCAUAAAUAAUAAAUCUAUGUAGCAAUGAUCUAAUAGCACAUUAAGAAAAAAUAGAGAAGUAUAAAUAUAGAGGAGCCUAAUCUAGAAAAAAGUGUGCAUUUGUGUCAAGUAAACCACUGAUCUUAGGACACUAGCGAAUGAUGAGUAUAUCCAUAUGAUAAUUUUGAUGUAAAUAAAGUAUACUAACCAUUGUUAAAUAGGUAUCCAUUAGAAAAAUCCUUAGGUAAAUUCGUAAACUGUAAUCUUUUGCAUAAGCAGUUAUGACUAUUAUUCUCUGUUUUACUAACAAUUUUAUCAUGCAUAAUUGUUAAUACUAGUGGGAUAGGCAAACUCAAUCUAUGUGCAAAUUUAGAGAGUUGAAUUAGAAACAGGUUGUGCAUGGAGAAGUUUUUAGUAAAUGUAGAUAUGGUGAGUUUUUAAUGGAGUUGUGAGAAGCAUAAGCAGUGGCUAGAAUAUAUGUUAUAUUGAAUGAAACCAUGGAUGUGAUUAAAGUGUUUUUUAUAUAAAUAAUAAUUUUUCUUUUUCUUUUUUUUUUUUUUUUUUGAUAUGUGGUGAUACUAUUCUACCCUUUGAUGUAAGCGUAUAACAAUGAUUCAAAAUACGAUCAAAAUGUUAACAUUGCUAUGUGAAUAAAGUAAAAGAAGGAGACAUAUUAAAGCAACUAAAUUAUAUUUCUCCUACACUAAGUCAAAUUUGGAGCUUGACAGGUAGGUUAAUAGUUGUCCCACUGCAUGCAGGUUAUUGUUCUCACAGUUCAUAUGGGUCAUUUGCAACAUUAAUCAGUAGUAUUCCGUUUGUAUUCAAAUACUUGUAUUUUAUAUUAUAGAAUUCAAUUGUAACCUUGUACAAUUGAGCGUUGUUAUGGGGAGUUAGACAUGCAAGUAUAACUAGCAUGCAAGCAGAACUUCGAGCGUUGUUAUGGGGAGUUAGACAUUGUGUGAUUCGAGGGUACUUGGAGUUACACUUAGAGGCUGAUUCUCUCACCCUGGUUCAGAUUGUUCAAGGGACCAGUGCGUGUCCUUGGCGUCUACAGAGAGAUAUGGAUGAGUUGAUGAUUUUCAAGCAGUCUUUCCAAUCCAUCACACACUGCUACAGAGAAGCAAACACACCGGCGGAUCAUCUGGCAAAUUUUGGUGCUGAUGCUUGCGCAGGUCAUGUGUUUAAUACAUUUUCAGAUUUACCACAAUUGGUCAUGGGGGCUAUUAGAUUAGAUCGAUUAGGACUUCCUACGUUUCGUACACGGUGUCUGGCAUGAAUGGGAAUAAGAAGCAAAAAAGACAAUGCAGGUGAAAAUGAGCUUCAAGGAUCAACAUUCAGAUUCACUGGAAGACAUCCUAAUAUGGACAACGGAAGAUUUAAUCUUAGUAUCAGAUUUUAAGUGCUUAAUCCUUCGCUAUAUUGUAUAUUUAUUUCAAAUUGUGGUUUGAUGGCAGGGAGUUUCGUCCUUUUAUAAGGGGAAACUCUGCCGAAAUUUUUAUAAAAUAAUAAAAUUUUAUGGAAAAAAAAAUUGUAACCUUGUACUCCUAUUUAAAAAAAAUGCAUACAAAAAAGAGGGAGAAGAGAGGAGUCGCAUAAUAACUUAAUAUUCUUUUUUUCACAAUUUUUUUCAAGUUUAUCUUAGACUAAUCAUACUUAAGCAUCAUAGCUUUUAAAUUGAGGCGACAAACUUUGAUACAAUUAAAAACAAAAUAUGAAGCAAUAAUUACUAAAGUAUAAAUAAAUCUUUCUCAUAGAGAGUUAGAUUGGGUGAUAAGGUGAGAGGGGUUGUAAAUAAGAGAUUUUAGAUUCAAGUCCUCUCAUUUACCAAAACAAAUAAUAAAGAAAAUCUUCCUCUUGAAAUUUUUGAGGGAAUUUUAAUGGGGACAAAAAAAAAAGGAAUUUCAUGGCUUUGUUUGAAUAUUCAAUUGCGGAUCAAUACAAGUAAUAUAUAUAUAUACAAUAUAUAUAUAUAUAUAUAUAUAUGUACAUACAUAGAUAUGUAUAAAUGUGUGUACGUGUAUAUAGAGCUGUUAAGUCAAUCGAGUAGCUCGAAAGCUCGUUAGAGCUCGGCUCGUUAAGGCUCGAGCUCGGCUCGUUAAUUUUAGUUAACGAGUCGAGCUCGAACUCGAAACAUGCUCAUUUAGUUAACGAGCCGAGUAACUCGAGUAGCUCGUUAGAGCUCGUUAAUGAAGAGCAUAUUUGUCAUUUUAGAAAUCAAAAUUAUAAAAAUUAAAAAUUAUAGAUUUUUAUUAAGGUUAAUUUGCACAAACUCGGGCUUGAGCUCGUGAAGCUCGAUUCGUUUGUGAUAAACGAGUCGAUCUCGAGCUCGAGCUCGAGCCACAUGUACAUUUAACGAGCCGAGUUCGAGCACAUUUUAAAGCUCGUUUUCCUAACGAGCUCGAGUCGAGCUCGGCUCGAAUUAAACUCGAGUCGAGCUCGGCAGCCAAAUACUCGGCUCGACUUGACUCGAUUAACAGCUCUACGUGUAUACAUAUAUAAAUAAAUGAUUACCAAGUUAGCAUCAGUCAAAUUCUCAAACUGAGGCAAAAGGAUCAGCAGAAAUACAUGGUCAAACCACCAAAAGAGCAUCCAUUAUGCAAUGAACAAAAGUAAGCAUAUAGUGCAACUAUAUACAUAAUGUGUGUAGUCUAUUAUAAUUGUGUAAAAUCAAUCUAUUCUUGAAUGAGAUAAUAUAUUAUACGGAACAAUUAUAGUGGUGAUUGACAAAAGUAAAAGUCCCUGCUAUAUAACCCUAACAAAAAAGAAAACAAUUGACUAGAAUCAUGUCACAAAAAAAAUAUAGUUUUAAAACCUAAUUUGACAAAAAUAUAAAAAUUUGAGAAGCCAUAAGGAAUAAGAAACUACAAAAGUUAAGUAGGAAAAAUCUCAAAGAAGUCAGGAAAUAGAAUGAACUAUUUUCUACAUAACUAUAGAAGUAUUAAUGGUCUAAAAUUAUAAGAGAAGUAGAUAAAUUUUUGUAGUUGUUUAGACAACCGUUUUGAGUUUUAGCAUUUAUUUUUUGCUUUACUUGGAUCAUUUUACUCUUAUACCUAAGGGUAUAGAAAGAAGUUCAAAAAGUGACUACUAUGUACACAACAGGUCACUCACUUUAUAUUGUGUAGAUGAUAGAGGUCUGGAGGAGUUCAAAUUUCAAAAAUUUUUAAAAAUUCUAGUCAACUAAAUUAAUCGAGAGAAGUGGCAGGUGAUUUUGGCACGGUUGUAUCUUACUGUUAUUUUUUUUUUUAGGAGAAAAAAUCCUAGUAGCCCUCUAACUAUUUAUUGGGUUGAACUUUUGACCCCCAACAAUUAAGAGUAAAUUUUUUGCUCUUGAUCUAUCAAAAAUACAAAAUGUUAAACUUUUUGUCAAAUUUAACAAUUAAGACCGAUAGAAACCAACCUCACGUGAGAUGCAUGCUGAAAUAUGAAGAGCAUUUUGGUCCAUCCAACAGUCUUCUACUCAAUUAAAAAAAAAUAAAGGUUUCUUCCCAAACAAAGGCCCUGUUUGGAAAGUAAGUUUUUUGCGAAUUUGUCUAAAAUUUUAUUGUAACUUAUUGAAAAAUUUUUUGAAAUGUGUAGAUUUUUUAAUAUUUUGAAGUAUAUAGUUUAAAAAUUUUGAAAAAUAUUUUGAAAUUACUGUAGUUAAAGUUUUUUAAAAACUUGUAGCAAACAAACUUGGUAAGAAACUUGGGUUCCAAUUUCAUAAUCAAAUCCAGACCUUUGUCAAAUCCAGACCUUUGUGAAAAUUCUUGAGUUACAAAUCUUGCUUUAUACCUCACAAUUUCAUUUUUUUCAUUUCUUUUCCUCACAAAUAUCCAUUUAACCUACUGGCUUUACACCUUCAGGUAUUUGGACUACAAGUCCAAAAACUUUUCUUUUAACCAAUAAAUCCAAUUCAAAUUGGAUCGCAUCUUUCCACUUGGCCAAUCAUUUCUAUACCAACAUUCAUCAACCGAUCUAGAUUCAUGAUUCUCAUCAACUUCUAUGAUAUCAAGUGCUAUAUUUUAUUAGGUUCCAAUUAAAUUUUCUAUGAUUUCAUUCUCUUUAGGAAUUGGCUCUUGAGGAUUGACCUUUCAAGAGGUUGAAUUUUGUCAUGACAUUUAUUUAAUCUCUAGAAAUAUUUGAAAUCAAUUUACACCUUAUUUAGGUUAGCCGGCCUUAAAUUUAUUUGUAAUACUUGUGCAUGUCCUUCAAGAACAUCAAUUUUAACCAGAAUCUUUCCUGCAUGAAUAGUUGAUUUAAUGACUCUUCUGGAGUCGAUAAAUAUAUACAAUUGAUUUGCAAGUUUCUACAAAUGAAUAAUUUUUGAACUUUUAGUUCACAUUAUUUUGUAUGAGAAUCGAGAAAAUUCAAUUUUUCUGAUGAUUUCCUUUCGGUUGAUCUUUUCCUCCUUUUAAUGUCGGGAAUCGUAGCUCACCAGAAUAAAUAAAUCAUUCAAUAGAUUACCCAUCAAUAUUUUACGAUAUUUAAUCGUAAAAGGUGAUUCAUACCCGACAUAAAUUUUUGAAUUUCUUUUGGAGUUAUAUAUAAUAUAAAAGGGGUAUGUAUAAAUACUUGUCGACUCUCAAAUAUUCUCAGUUUUGCCAAAUUAUAUAUCCAUUGUGAUUAGUAAACUUCUGGUUACUGCAGGUGAUGAUUAUAAAUCAAAUGAGAAUGAAAACAACUAUAUCGAUAACCAUUUCUCUUUCGAAUGAUUAUUAUGAUAUAAUUAGCAUUUAUUUUACUUGAUUUUUAAAUAUGAUAUCUAUUAUUGUCUCAUUUAAUGUCUCAAUUUAAUAUCUACUUCGAGGGAUAUUCAAAUUCAAUAAAUUCUUCGAGACAUGGUAAAAAGUAGUGCUUUAUUUAUCAUAAACUUUUCUCUUAUAGGGAGAAAUAUAACAAUGGCUCUUCUGGAGUUUUCAAUUGCUUAAGCACUACCACUGAUUAUAUUUGUCUCUUUUGUUGGAAAAUAGUAUAUAUAGUAGCAUUUAUUAAUGAGACACGUAUUAUUGUCACCAUAUUUUUUAUGAGACAAAUAUCAUCACCAUAAUCUUUUGAUCCCAAAUAUUUAACAUCCAUUUCUUUUUUAGGAAGAAAUGUCAAUUACUAUCAUAAAUUAAAUCAUUCAUCAUACACCUUCAGGGUGUUUAAAGAAAUUUUUCAUGUGAAAAAUACUAUUAUAAUUUUGAUUCGUCAAAUGUACUUCGGGACAUUUAUCUUUAGAAUCCUUACUUUUUUGUCCUUAUUAUUAUUAUCUCAUUUCAAGUGGUAACUUUUUUUCUUAUCAUAGUAAAAUACAUAUUUACCAAAAUCAUAGUCAUGACAGCAACCAUAAUUAGUAAAUUAAAAUUUAGUUACAUUCACUUCUAAAAAUAGACUAGAAUUAGCAUGCAAUAAGUACAAAAUACUUCUCAAAUUUUCUCUCAAUAUUGCUACUAUAAGAGCAUAUUUGAGAAAUAUGCAGAGAAUAUUAUUUUCAAUUAAGAAAUAAUUCUAAACAUUGCAUAAUUGUGUACUUGCAGCCAUAAGUAAAUUUAUCAUACCAGAUUUUGAAAUAAUGACCAUUUUCUGGCGGUCAAAUCUUUUCGUUAAAGAACGACCAUUUUUAGGCGGUCGAAUCUUUUUCUUUAAGUAUUUCAAAGGACAAGUGAAUCCUCAAAUAUAAUUAAUUUUUUAUAAAAAUUCAAUGCAUCAGAAUAUAAGUAUUUAAAACAAAUAAUUUUAAAGAUAAAUGAGUAGAAUUAAAAGAAAAAAUAUUACAUCAAAGAUAUCAAACAGUAUAUGUUUGUGUUUAGUCGUUGCUCAACAGUAGGCACUUGUAUUUUGCAAUCCUUCAAAUGUUAGUUAUAAGAAAUUGAAAUAAGUUUAUGGAUUAGAAAUUUACCUCAAUAGGUAGUCAAGAGUUGAUCAAGAAAAUAUCCAACAAUUGAUUUGACACUAGCAGAAUUUUGAUAAAGUCUCGUGUUUCACCUUUGUUAGAGACUCUGUUUUCACUUUUUGCUUAAAAGUAGAGACUCAUACUGAUUACGUGUUAUAAAACUAAUAAAUCCAAUUCUGAUUUAGAUUAUCAAUAUAUAACAAUUAUCAUAAAAUUUGAUUCAUUUUUUCAAUUCAUUUUUCCAAUUUGAUUCAAAAGUGAAACACAAGAUUUUGCCAAAAUUUUACCCGUAUUUCUUCAAGUAACUUCCGAGAUAAAUUUCUAAUUCAAGAACUUAUUUUAAUUUCUUAUGGCUAAUCUUAUAAAACAAGAGUUCGUACCUUUUGAUAUUUUUUAAAAAAAUUAUUUAUCAUGGGUAUUGGAUGUUGAAAUUCAUCUUGAGGCAAUAGGUCCUGGUAAUACUAUUGUUGAAAAAAAUGAAUCCUCAAAUCAAGACCGUGUCAAAGCUAUGAUUUUCCUUCAUCGUCAUUUAGAUGAAAGAUUAAAAAUAGAGUAUCUUACUGUCAAAAAUCCUCUUAUCCUUUGUCAAGAUUUGAAAGAAAAAUUUGACCACCUGAAGUUGGUCGUUCUUCCAAAAGCUUGAUAUGAUUGGUUUCACUUACGGUUACAAGAUUUUAAAUCUGUCAAUAAAUAUAAUUCAGUCAUAUUCAGAAUUACUUCUCAAUUAUCAUUAUGUGACGAAAAAGUCACUAAUGAAGAUAUGUUAGAGAAAAUAUUUUCUACUUUUCAUAUCUCUAACAUGCUCUUGCAGUAGCAAUAUCGAGAGAAGAGAUUUAAAAAAUAUUCUAAACGUAUUGCAUGUCUUCUUUUGGUUGAACAAAAUAAUGAAUUAUUACUGAAAAAUCUUGAGUCUCGACCAACUGGUACAAGUUUAUUCCCUGAAGCGAAUGCGACUCAAUUUCAAUAUUCUGGUCGAGGUCGUGGAUGUGGCCGUAGAGGUGGCCAUGGGCGUGGAUGUGAUCGUAGUAGAUUUGUACCCCAUGAAAAUUAUAACCAUGGCAAACAACAAAAUAUUUUUCAAAAGAGGAAAAAUAACUUACGAUCAAAAAAAUGGAGAAAAGAAAAUUUAUUAAGAAAAAUGCUAUCGAUGUGGUAUGGAAGGUCAUUGGUCCCGUACCUAUCGUACGGGUGAGUAUCUUGUUGACCUCUAUCAAGCAUCAAUGAAAAAGAAAGACAAAGGUGUUAAGACAAAUUUCAUUGAUUAAAAUAAUGAUUAUGAUAAUAGUGAUGAUGCUAAUAUGACACACCUCGAUGUAGCUGAUUUCUUUGAGCAUUCUGAAAAUGUCAACAAAUAUUCCAUGAUUGUUUAGAUAUUUUUAUGAUAUUUUAUAUCUUUCAUGUAAUUUUCUUUUCAUUCAAUAUUUAUUUUCGCAUCUUUGUUAAUAUUUAUUUUUGUUUUAAAUUUUCUUCUUGAAGAAGAAAUGGAUGCUAAAUAUUUGGAAUCAAAUAAUGGUAAUGAUGAUAUUUGUCUCAUUGAUAGUAUUACUACGCACACCAUAUUGAAAAAUAAAAAAUAUUUUUCUUGUUUGAAAAUGGGAGAGACAAAUGUUAAUACCAUCAGUGGUAAUGCAAAAUUGAUUGAAAGCUCAGAAAAAGCAACUCUAUUUGUUUCUGAAGGGACUAAAAUUAUCGUAAAUAAUGCACUACUCUCUCCUAAGUCUCAGAGAAACUUAUUGAGUUUUAAAGAUAUCCGCGAAAAUAGAUAUCAUAUCGAGACAAUGAUUGAGACAAAUGGUGAAUUUUAGUCUGGUGCUAAUAAUGUGUUAUAAAACUAAUAAAAUAAACUAUUAUAAUAGAAAUUAAAAUAUUAGAGAAGGAAAUAGAGAAAUAGAGAAUGAUGUUCUUAUUGUUCCAGCUAAUACCAAAAGUACAACCAAGAGUUGCCAAGGUACCUCUAUAUAUAGGUAUUACAAAAUUAAAGGUACAUCAAUUCUAUUAAACACUUAUUACUACAAGAAUAUGAAUAGUCUAUAAAACGAUUCUUCCAAUACAUGAAUGGGUUUAUAGAUUGAAACCAUUCAUCCAAUAUAAUUCCUUUACAUAAUGUAGCAAUGAAUUAUGAAUUGAUCUUCUUAGAAUCAAUGAAUUAUGAAUUAGGCCUAGUAUGAUGCAACACCUUCGAAAUGGGACCCGUAACACAAACCUGUUUUUGACAACAAUGCUAAAUAAGUGCGAAAGAGAAAUCGCUUUCAUUGAUAAGGCUUGUCAAUAUUUACAUCAUGUCACGAAGACGAUUCCGUACAAGAUUGCCAAAACUUCUGAGCCUAUCUAAUACAGAGUCCCUAGUUUCUCUAGCAUAUGGAACUCUAACAUGUUCAGUUUGGUCAUACAAUUCUCCGCACUUCCUUUUCAGCUCUUGACGCUUUUCUCGUUCAUUUUCAUAUAAUUGCUUGUUUUGCUCCGCUAUCCCUUUGUAUGUCUCGACAGACUUACUUAAUUGCAGAAUUUCUUUAUCCUUUGCUUCGAUAACAGCUUUCAAUCUUUUCACCUCCUCGGUUGGUUCAUCUUGUGUUCCUUGUGUAGCGGACCCUCUUAUCCAGUCUUCGUAUUGUGGAGUGGUCAAUCCCUUUUGCUUGAGUUCCGAGACGUAUUUAAACCUCUCACCAUCAGAUAACUUCACCCAUGCCUCAAUAAUCCGAUCUUUCAUAGGGAAUUGGUUUGGGCAUGUUUCUUCAUCAAAAAUAAUGGUAAACUCUUUCAUAUCAAGUGCAGGCGGGACUUCUUGGGUGCGUCCUAACUGUCUCAGAAACCUCUUUGGGGUGUAUGCGGUAAUUCCUUGGGUACCCAGUAAAAGAACAAAUUCGGAUACUUGAGUGCGAAAAACAGGUUUGAUACAAUUGGUCCAAUCCAAUACCCAUCUAAUAUUUUGAUCAAUCAUAUUCUUCAAGAAAUCCACAAACUCAGAUGCAUUAUAUGGCAGACCCUCUCUGUUAACCCUCUUAUGGUGUGUAGUUAUCCAGUUAUACGCAGCCAUUGGUAGACCCGCGGGAAUAGACGAUCGCCUCAUGAAGUGUUCCAUACCCCAUACAUGUAGAAUCCAAUUUGAACCACAGAAGAACUUUUUCCCUCUCUAACAAGUAGUGCAGGCUAUGAAAAUAUCGGCCAAAAUAGUCGGUAUAAUAGAACACUGUUUAUCUUUCACUCCUAGAAAUAGGUCGUACAAGAUCUUAGUGAGUUUAAAGGUUAUUUUUUUGUCUUUUCUAGGGAAAAAAUAGGUUCCAACCAUAACCAACCCGUAUACCCAUACUCUCUUUCGUUCCCAGAUUUCCUUGGAAGUGAACUAGAAAUCUCCUAGGUGCCUCUCAAACCCAUCCUUUAAAGCAAAUCGAUCAAAUAAGAACUUUGCCUCUAUAUUUUCGUCCGACCCUCGUAUUGCUGAUUCCUUUAACCCGGUGAAACGAUAAAAUUCGGCUUUCUUAGACACUAACGGAAAUAUCACGGCAGUUCCCUGAAUCGGCAAAUUGAGAAAUCCGACGACCUCCUCAAUUGUUAUGGUCAUUUCCCUUUCUCCUAGUCUAAAAGUGGAACAAGUGGGGUCCCAUAGAUGCACCAAAGCUUCUACCAAAUAGCCGUCGGACUUAAUGUCCUUGAAAUCCCCGAUGUGUCCUAAUCGACCGGCUAUUUGGUUAAUCUCACUGGGUGAAAGCAACGUUGGCCAUCUUUGUACCUCCGACGGUACUACUAACAUCUGUUGAACUCGGCGAGAACUUUCCAUCUAGAAACAAAACCGGAGUCAAAUACCUUACCUAUAGGUCCCAUUUCUCUGGUUAACAUGAAUUUAAACGUGCAAAUCCCAAGAUAGGGUUAAAUACCCACAGGGAUAUAGGGUUGGCUUAUCCCUAAGGAUGGAAUUGCCUAAACGGCGUUCCUUCUAAAGUUUAAUGCAUGAUGCCAUUUAUCAAAGCGAACACACAUGCAUUACACAAAAUGAAACAUGAUCUAAAGGGACCCCUUUUGUAUGCCGGGGUGAGCCUAGAAUGAAAUAUAUUCAUGUUACGCAUGCGAAGCGUUGAAUUUAAACGUGUCACAUUCAAAUGGGGUAGGCUCUUAGAGAGUGCCAUGCCAGAACUCUUAUUUCCUAGGGCGAAUGACUGCAAUGGAGACACAAACCACGAAAGGUUAGUUCAAUCAGAUAAAUACACAUAACACAUUGUAGCAAAGCAAUACAAAGAGAUAAAGUAAUAAUAAUAAAAAAAAUGGAGGGGUUGGAUCCCUCCCCUCGUGAAUGGUGUCCCUAAUAGGGUAAGGCAGACUUUACCCUAGGUGAACUAUUAUGGAUGCAUGAGGUUGGGGUUCACUAAUGCAUCUAAACUCGAUAAGCUCAGGUCCCCGAGCCUUCAGACUUGGAAACCAAAGGUCAUCACUCCCAAGGUUCCUUGUCGGUGGCUCGAGCGAUUCUCCAGACAUUGCUACGCACACGUCGUGUCACGGCUACAUGUCCGAGUGAAUCUAAGAAAAAUCCUCAACCUUCGACUAAAAACUAAAUGCUAUUAACCCAAAAUUUAAAGCGGAAGAUUGAGUGACCCCUCGAAUCAUGCUACGCACACGUCGUGUCGCGAUCACACGUCCAAGUGGGUCUCCUAAUCCUAAUAGGGUGGAGUGGCGUGACAAGCCACUAAAAGAAAAAUAAAUGAGGGAUAAAAAUAAAGCAUAUGCACGUAUGCUAGUGCUCGUUUGGAGGGGAGGGAUCGAAAACCAACGCGAGGCUCUAAGGUGAUGUCCCCCCCAAAUGCAAUACAAAGCGCGAGAUAAAACAAGUAAAACAUACAUCCAAGCAACCAAUCAUACAUACGUGAGUGAGGGAGUAGUUUGAUAAGCGCUCGAGGCAAAAAGGUCCUAAAAUGGAAAAUGCAACCCUAAUAUCCAAAUGUUACGCAUAACAAGGGUAGAAAACGGAAAAGAAUGGCUAAAUCAAAUGUUUGGACCCACUUAGAAGUCCCCAGUGGAGUCGCCAAUCUGUCGCGCCCCACUUUUUGAUAUGUGAGAGUAGUGUGUAGGAUAAGUAUGUGAACGUGUGUGAAAGUGAAAAGAAAAGGCCGUGGGAUUGUGAAAUGCGACGGUUUGGCCACACAAAGGGUUUUAGAUAAAAAAAAAGGAGUCGCCACUUGGUAUAGAGUUAGGGUGUACCAAGUCACUCAAAAAGUGAUUUUUUGGAAAAGAAAAGUGAACAAACCCUUUAAAGAAUUUUUAGGUCUACGUUACCAAAGAAAAGGGAUCGGGGGUCACAUUUGAUAAGGGAGAAGGCAAAGGCAAAGCCUAAGGCACUCCCUUACCCUAGCCAAAGCUAGUUGCGUGACUUAACCCUUCUUUUCCUAAUUUUUCUAUCCAAAGUAUGUGUUGCAUGUUGGAUAUGACUAAUGGAUGCGAAAAAGAGAAAAAUGCAAUCCUAAAUCUAAAAUGUCUCUUAUGAGGCUUUUUGGUCCCAAUCACAUGAGUUGUGAUGGCCAAUAAGGAAAACUCUCAUAGAGGACACGGGUAAUGCAAAUGAAGACCCAAAUAUGAGUGCAAGUGUGAAAAUAUAAGAAGAAUGCAAGUGUGCAAAUGUAAGAAAAGUGCAUGUGUGCAAAUUGAGAAAAUAAAGGUGUUUGUGUGCAAAUGGAUGAAAAUAUGAUAGUGGAUACAUAUAAGUGCAAUUGGGUGCAAUUUGUGAGGUAGAAAAACAAAUGACAAAAAAAAAAUGUGUGAACAUGGCAUUUGUAUUGAGAAAGAGAUAAGUAGUGAGAAAAUGUAGAUAAAAAAGGUGAUGGUGUGACAUGAUGAGAAUGAGAGUGUAUGAACCUAGAGGAAUGCAUCAAGUCGGGUACGGGAAUGACUCCUAACUUCACGACUUUAAUUUUCCCUUUGAUUAGAAGGAAGAACUAGCGUGCUAAGGUUAUUUUGUAGCCACACUCACUCGUUUCCCUUAUCGAAAGGGGACAUCACUUAACUGAAGGAGGAGCAGAUCGGGAGAACAAACCAGAUUUCCAGAUUUCCAGACAUGUUCAUAUUCAACUUGAAUAAAAUGGAUUACCUUUGUCGCCUAUAAGGUUGAGACGUACGAAGCCAAACUUUGGAGCUCAGAUUCUUGCCGUUCCUUCACUUCCUUGCCCGUAGCUUCCAAGCCUCUCUUCGUUCCCAUAUUUUCUGCUCUUUCCUCUUGCUCCAGCUUGACCGCUUUCUCUCUCUCGCUUAGGUUCUCUCUCAGAAACCCUAGCAGCUACUGGAUUCUCCUUCCCCCUCUAAUCUCCCUCAGCCCAGAUUCUAGCCGUCACUCUUCUCUCUGGUUUAUUCUUUUGUUUCAGCCGUCAACUUAGCUUUUCACCCCCAGCCGUCACUCUGAUUUUCUCCCUUCGGCUGCGGUUCCUUUUUCUUUUUAUAUCCAGUUAGCAGCCCCAAAACCCUCCAUUCAAUGGCUACAAAUCAUCUCCUCGUAAGCCCUCUCCUUGGCCCUCCGAUUCAUCAGACAAAAAUCUAUAAGUAUUUUCAUGCCGCAUGCAUGUGCAGCUUUUCCCUUUUUCUUUUUUUUUUAAUAAAUCAACACAAAUAAUAUUUUAGAUAAAAAGAAGAAAACUCGGAAUAAAAGAUGGAAAAUAAAAUGCCUAACAAUUUAUGUUUGAUUAAUGAUUUUCUUUUCUUUCUUUCUUUUUCCGAUUAAUAAACAGUAAAAGGAAAUAAACAUAUUUUUAUGAAUGAUUUUCUCUUUUGACAAAUUUUAAUAGUCUUAAAACAAUCUUGCAAUAAAAAUAAGUAGUUAAAAGGAUAAAAACGAAAAUAAAACUAACAUAAAAAUAAAAAUAAAAAUAAAAGACCAUAAUAAUCUGAGACAUACCAAAAGUCUAAACCUAAGAUCAUGGAAUCAGAUAAGAAUUAUUACUAAAAUAACAAAGAAAUUAGGACAAAAAUAAAUAAAAUGAAACACAGAAUAGUUAAAAAUUUGGUGUCUACAAUAGUGACCUAGAACUGAACACACUUGCAGCAUAUAAACCAUGUUGAGGACGAUGAGCAAUCUCAUGGGGUUGUGUGUUUUUUUAAAAAAAAAAUUUGAAUGGAUUUCUGGUAUUCAUUUCUUUAUUGAUAUAAUUCUCUCAUUGGGGUUACCUAAUGAGUAGAUGAAGUUGUUUUCUUCCCAAAUUACUCCCGUCUUCCUAUUUUUACAAUGGUCAACUUUUAACUUAUUGCAUUUUUGUAUUAUAUAUUCAUCAAAAUAUUCUACUACUGCAUGAUGUGAUGUGGCCAAUUGUUUAAUGAACUUAUUGUAUAGACUUGUUUAUAAUUUAGCAUCAAUUUAAAUAGAACUCUGCUCUCGCCCUGUCGUAACCUUAUAUAUAAUGUGUUAUAGUACUAGUAUGUAUGUAUACAUUGUGAUUUAAAAUUUAAAAAAUGAUAUUUUAUUAUGGUAAAAUAAUGUACCCUUUCUUGACAAUUUUUAUGGUUGCAGUAAAAGUAUGAUUUUGUUAUGUCAAUUUACUUGACUUUUUAUUUGUCAUAUGUUGCAUAUUGGUUGUAAAAAAUUCAUGGAUAAUUAUAAGUUUGUAAAUAAAUAAAACAAAUAUUAUAUAUAAUUAUAUACAUAUAUAUAUUUAUAUAUUUAAUAAUUUUUUUAACAGGUUUCCCCUGCCCUGUUUCUAAACGGGAGGAAAAUUUCCCCCGCUCGUGUCUUUCGAUUUAAGGUGCAGGUGUGUUUCGAUUUUACCCUUCAAAAUAUGCCAACAUAAGAUAUGCGUGCUAUUUUCAGUUAAAUAAAUGAGUAUUAGAACCAAAAUAGAUCAUAAUUUAUAUGUUAGGGACGAUUCUGGCUGACUUUAAAUGUUGGGGACUUAAAAAAAUUUUUAUGAAAUUGUAAAGGGCCAAUUUGACAAAUUUUUCAAGAAUCAGGCAUUUUUUUUGUCUGUCUCAGGGGAGGCUAUGUAACCUUUGGAAAAUACUCUACGUUUGCUCCUCCGAAACAGAAACCACUCUCUAUUGCAAUAGAAGUAUUCGAGAUCAUAAAAUGGUGGGAUUUAAUGUUCAUAUUUGAUGUUUUGAUUUAUAUAACUGCUUCAUUUACUUUUAAGUGUUGAUAGAUCUUAUUACUCUGACUUUCAUUUUCUCAGAUUCGCAAGAUUUAAAACUAAUAAAAUAAAAUACUAUAAUAGGAAUUGAAACAUUCAAGAAGGAAAUAGAGAAAAAGAGAAUGAUUUUCUUAUUGUUCCAAUUGAUACCAAAAGUACAACCAAGAGGUGCCAAUGUACCUCUAUGUAUAGGUACUACAAAAUUAAAGGUACAUCAAUUCUAUUAAAUAUUCAUUACUACAAGAACAUGAAUAGUUUAUAAAACGGUUCUUCCAAUAUAUGAAUGGAUUUAUGGAUUAAAACCGUUCAUCCAAUGUAAUUUCUUUAUAUAAUGUAGCAAUGAAAUAUGAAUUGAUCCUCUUAGAAUCAAUGAAUUAUGAAUUAGUCCUCUUGAUAAUAUAAAUGGACAUCCACAUCUUUAAUUAUUUCACAACACUCUUUCUUGGAUAUCCAUUACACAAAGAAUAUGUCUCGUUAAAAUCUUACUAGAAAAAAAUUCAUCGGGACAAAAAUCUUAAUGAAGGAAAAAGAGUACACUAUUCCUGUGCAUUAAUUUUUCCCUCUGAUACAAACAUCAUUUGAGAUCUUUUAAUUUUUAAUAUUCUUCACCAAUUUUUCAAAUGUUACAGUCGACAAUACUUUGGUAAAUAAAUAUGUCAAAUUAAUAUCUGAUCGAAUUUGUUGCACAUCAAUUUCACCUUCUUUGGUAAAUCAUGAGUAAAAAAAUUUUUGGUGAAAUAUGUUUCGUGCUAUAUUCUUUAAUAUAUUUUCCUUUUAAUUGAGUUGUACAAACUACAUUAUCUUUAUAUAAUAUAGUUGUAGGAUUUUCUUUUUCGGAGGAUAACCCACAACUCUUCCAAAUAUAGUGGAUCAUUGAUCUUAACCAAACACAUUCUCAACUAGCCUCAUAAAUUGCUAUUAUUUCAGCAUGAUUCGAUAAAGUGGCAGCUAAUGAUUGCUUAGUAGAUUGCCAAGAAAUGGCUGUACCUUUAUAUUAAAUAGAUAAUCAGUCUAAAAUUUUGUUUUAUACGGAUCAGAUAAAUAUCCAGCAUCAACAUAACCAAACAAUUCAGGUUUGAAUUUAUUUGAAUAAAAUAAAUCAAGAUUAAUUAUUCUUUGGAGAUAGUGAAAAAUAUGUUUAAUGUCAUUUCAAUGUCAUUUUGUGGGCGAGGAACUAAAUUUUGCUAAUAAAUUCACUGUAAAUGAUACAUCAGAUCUUGUACAAUUAGCAAGAUACAUUAGUACAUCAAUUGCACUGAGAUAUAGUACUCCAGCACCAAGCAUCUCUUCAUUUUCCUCUCGCGGUCUAAAAUGAUCCUUAUUAGAAUCUAAUGAUCUAACGACCAUUGAGAUACUUAAUGUAUGUACCUUAUCUAUAUAAAAUUAUUUUAAUAUCUUUCGGGUAUAAGCAGUUUGGUGGACAAAAAUUUCGCUUUUCAAAUGCUCAAUUUAUAAAUCAAGGCAGAAUUUUAUUUCUCCAAAAUUUUUGAUCUCAAAUUCCUUCUUUAAAUAUUAACACUAUUUUGAAUCUCUUCAGGAGUUUCAAUCAGAUUUAGAUCAUCAACAUAUACAACAAUUAUCACAAAAUUUGAUUCUUUUUUUUUUUGAUAAAAACACAUGGACAUAUUGGAUCAUUUGUAUAACUUUUUUUAGUUAAACAUUCAUUAAAGCGAUUAUACCACAUACAUCCAGAUUGUUUAAAUCCAUACAAAAACCUUUAUAAUUUAAUAGAAUAAAUACUUUUAGAAUUUAAUUUGCAUUCUUCAGGCAUGUUGAAUUCUUCGGGAAUUCUCAUAUAAAUAUCAUUUUUAAGAUUUUCUUAUAAAUAUGCAGUAAUGACGUCCAUUAGACGCAUAUCUAGUUUUUCAUGUACUGCAAAACUCACAAGAUAUUUAAAUGUGAUAGCAUCUACUAUAGGUGAAUACGUUUCAUCAUAAUCAAAUCCAGAUCUUUGUAAAAAUUCUUGAGUUACAAGUCUUGCUUUAUACCUUACAAUUUCAUUUUUCUCAUUUCUUUUCCUUACAAAUACCCAUUUAACCUACUGACUUUACACCUUCAGGUAUUUGGACUACAAGUCUAAAAACUUUUCUUUUAACCAACAAAUCCAAUUCAGAUUAGAUCGCAUAUUUUUAUUUUGGCCAAUCAUUUCUAUACCGACAUUCAUCAAUCGAUCUUGAUUCAUGAUUCUCAUCAACUUCUAUAAUAUCAAAUACUAUAUUUCAUUAGAUUCCAAUUAAAUUUUCUAUGAUUUCAUUCUCUUCAGAAGUUGGCUCUUUAGAAUCGACCUUUCAAGAGAUUGAAUUUUGUCAUAACAUUUAUUUAAUCUCUAGAAAUAUUUGAAAUCAAUUUCUUCCUUAGUUAGGUAGGUCGAUUUUAAAUUUAUUUGUAGCACUUGUGCAUGUUCUUCAGAGACAUCAAUUUUAACCAGAGUAUUUUUUGCAGAAAUAGUUAAUUUAAUGACUCUUCUAGAGUCGAUAAAUAUAUCUGACAAUUGAUUUACAACUUUUUAUUAGUUCUCUAGUUCUCCAUUUCUCUUAUGGUAUCGAUAAAUAGAGAAAUAGAGAACUAACAAAAAGUUACAAAUCAAUUGUCAGAUAUAUUUAUUGAUUCCAGAAGAGUCAUUAAAUCAACUAUUCCUACAGAAAAUAUUCUGGUUAAAGUUGAUGUCCCUAAAGGGCAUGCACAAGUGCUACAAAUAAAUUUAAGGCUGGCCUACUUAAAUAAGGUAAAAAUUGAUUUCAAAUAUCUCCAAAAUUAAAUAAAUUUCAUGACAAAAUUCAAUCUUUUAAAGAGAUCGCUCCUGAAGAGCCAAUUCCUAAAGAUGAUGAAAUCAUAGAAAAUUUAAUUGGAGUCUAAUGAAAUGUAGCACUUGAUAUUAUAGAAGUUGAUUAGGAUCAUGAAUCUAGAUCGGUUGAUGAAUGUCGGUAUAAAAAUGAUUGGCCAAAAUGAAAAGAUGCGAUCUAAUCUGAAUUGAAUUUAUUGAUUAAAAGAAAAAUUUUUGGACUUGUAGUCCAAACACCUGGAGGUGUAAAGCCAAUAUGUUAAAUGGGUAUUUGAGAGAAAAAGAAAUGAGAAAAAUGAAACUGUGAAGUAUCAAGCAAGACUUGUAGUUUAAGAAUUUUCACAAAAGUCUAGAUUUGAUUAUGUUGAAACGUAUUCACCUAUAGUGGAUGCUAUCACAUUUAGAUAUCUUAUGAGUUUUGCAAUACAUGAAAAACUAGAUAUGCGUCUAAUGGACGUCGUUACUGCAUAUUUAUAAAAAAAAUCUUAAAAAUGAUAUUUAUAUGAGAAUCUCCGAAAGAUUCAACAUAACUGAAGUAUGCAAAUCAAAUUCUAAAAAUAUUUAUUCUAUUAAAUUACAAAGGUCUUUGUAUGGAUUCAAACAAUUUGGAUGUAUGUGGUAUAACCGACUUAAUGAAUGUUUAACUAAAAUUGUUAUACAAAUGAUCCAAUAUAUCUAUGUGUUUUUAUCUAAAAAAUGGAUCAAAAUUUGUAAUAAUUGUUGUAUAUGUUGAUGAUCUAAAUUUGUUGGAACUCCUGAAGAGAUUCAAAACAGUGUUGAAUAUUUAAAGAAGAAAUUUGAAAUCAAAGAUUUUGGAGAAACAAUAUUCUGCCUUGAUUUACAAAUUGAGUAUUUGAAAAGCAGAAUUUUUAUCCACCAAACUGCUUGUACCCGGAAGGUAUUAAAGCAGUUUAUAUAGAUAAGACACAUACAUUAAGUAUCCCAUUGAUCGUCAGAUCAUUAGAUCCUAAUAAGGAUCUUUUAAACCUCAAGAGAAAGAUGAAGAGAUACUUGAUCCUGAAAACCAUAUUUCAGUGCAAUUGGUGCACUAAUAUAUUUUGCUAAUUGUACAAGACCUGAUAUAUCAUUUGCAUUGAAUUUAUUAGCAAGAUUUAGUUUCUCGCCAACAAGACGAUAUUGAAAUGGUAUUAAACAUAUUUUUCUUAUCUCCAAGAAUAAUUAAUCUUGAUUUAUUUUAUUAAAAUAAAUCCGAACCUGAAUUUUUUGUUAUGCUGAUGCUGAAUGUUUAUCUGAUCCGCAUAAAGCAAGAUUUCAGACUGAUUAUCUAUUUACAUAUGGAGGUACAGCCAUUUCUUGGCGAUCUACUAAGCAAUCAUUAACUGCCACUUCAUCGAAUCAUGCUGAAAUAAUAACAAUUCAUGAGCUAGUCGAGAAUAUGUUUGGUUAAAUUAAUGAUCCACUAUAUUCGAAAGAAUUAUGGGUUAUCUCCGAAAAAGAAAAUUCUCUAACUAUAUUAUAUGAAGAUAAUGCAGUUUGUACAGCUCAAUUGAAAGAAAAAUAUAUUAAAGAAGAUAGGACGAAACAUAUUUCACCAAAAUUCUUUUUACUCAUGAUUUGCAAAAGAAUGGUGAAAUUGAUGUGCAACAAAUCUAAUCAGAUAAUAAUUUGACAGAUUUAUUUACCAAAGCAUUGCCGACUGCAACAUUUGAGAAAUUGGUGAAGAAUAUUAAAAUUAAAGAUCUCAAAUGAUGUUUGCAUCAGGGGAGAAAUUAAUACGCAGGAAUAGUGUACUCUUUUUCCUUCACUAAGAUUUUUGUCCGAUGGAUUUUUUCCUAGUAAGGUUUUAACGAGACAUAUUUUUAUAUAAUGGACAUUCAAGGGGAGUGUUAUGAAAUAAUUAAAAGUAUGAUGUCCAUUUGUAUUCUCAAGAGGAUUAAUUCAUAAUUCAUUGAUUCCAAGAGAUCAAUUCAUAAUUCAUUGCUACAUUAUGUAAAGAAAUUACAUUGGAUGAACGGUUUCAAUCAUAAACCCAUUCAUGUAUUGGAAGAACCAUUUCAUACACUAUUCAUGUUUUGUAGUAAUGAGUGUUUAAUAGAAUUGAUGUACCUUUAAUUUUGUAGUACCUAUAUAUAUAGAGUACCUUGAUACCUCUUAGUUGUACUUUUGGUAUUAGUUGGAACAAUAAGAGUAUCAUUCUCUAUUUCUCUAUUUUCUUCUCUAAUAUUUAAUUACUAUUAUAGUAGUUUACUUUAUUAUUUUUAUAAUAUAUUUUAGUGUAGUAUAAGGAGAGAAUCGAGUUGCAUUUUUUCAAUCAAAUAUCGACUCGCAAAUUAAUCCAAUACUAUCCAAUGCACGUUCUCAUAUCAAUCCAUUUUUAAUAUAAACCAUUUUGCAUCGUGUUUUGCUUAAUUCUUUUCGUGUCGUGUUAGAAAUUGUCAUUCUUACCAAUCAGUACACCUACAUGCCCGAUCUCGUCUAUCGCAGCCAAAUCUAGUCGUUAUCUUCACUAAAGCCAAACCGGAUUAGGAAUUCUGUAGUUGCACCAUGCAAUUUACAACCAAGAUGAGGCUGCAUUAAUUUGGCCAUGAUCCUGAUCGUGCAACUCAAAAUCUUAAAUUUAUUUUUUAUUUUUAAAGAGUUUGAAUAAUCGGUACUCAGUAACCACCCGUCAGAACAAGGGGUCAAAUAUAGUCUUUCUGUAAGUAUUUUAUUAAUUUAAGAAAAAAAGUGUCUAAUGCCGUGGCGCUAUUAAUCUAAUUCUAUUUAUUUAUAUGAUACAUUGGUGUGUUAACAAUUCUCGACUGGCAGCCUGUCAAAAUUUUUUUUAUUAAAAUGAAUGACAACACAGGCGAGCUACGCCAUGUGCGUCGUUGUGCCUUGUACGACUGGAUCAAGCAAAGUCAUAUAUACUCACAGUCUCUGCUUUAUCCGCCUAGUCCUGCACCGAUUUUCCCUAUUACUUUAGAAAAGGAUGAACUGUCCAGCCUACGAUAUUGUUCUUAUCCAAAUCCGACAUCUCAGAUCCUACCACGUCAUUUACAUCUGUCUUCCGUAUGGUAUGACUUGACUUGUUUCCGUUUUCGCCUUUUAAGGAAACAUUUCAGUUCCCCCAUCUAAACGUCUCAGAUCCUUCCCUUUUUUUUUUAUCUUCUACCUUCAUCUCCAUCUUCCCUUCGUCUUCUUCUUCGGUGGCAGCUUAAAUCGCUGUAAAUACCCCAAAUUCAAUACCCUUUUGCUUAAACUGCCAGCCCUUUUUCCCCAUUAUUGUCUCGGCGGCAACUAGACAUGGACAUAUAAGAACAGUGUAUAUAUAUAUACGCAUACGAGUUAGUUAAAAAUAGUAAGAAAUGGGAAAUGCUGGUGGAAGAGAAAAUGGUGGUGGUGGGGAUGGUGGUUCUUCUGACGGUGGUGGGGGAAGAUCGAAUGGUGCACGUGACUCGCACGCUGGGUCAGCAGCAGUGUUCCACCCGCUGACUUGAUGGUUAAUUCUCCUCCUCAGAGUCCUCGGCACCUUAGUCCUAAUUCGCCUUUGUUGCUCGCCCCUCAGGUGCUGCCCCACUACGUAUUUCUUUAGAUACAUAAGAAAUGUGAAUACGUAUUCGUAUGUUUGUAGUUAUACGUUUUUAUAUACGUGUAUCAGGGUAUGCAGUAUGCGUAAAGCAGCAGUAGUAGUACAGUGCUAACGGAUCUUGUGUACAUGCAACAUAAAUGAUGAACAUAUUUCUGUGAUGCUGUUUUUUUUUCUAAUACUAUCUUUGUGAUGAUACAUGUUCGAUGUUAAGUGACAUGAGAGUAGUUGUACCCACUAACAGAAUAAAUGUAUAGACUUUUGGUUCGAAACUCCCGGAAACAUGUAAGAAGUUGUUGUUUUACAUUCAUUGUUUAAGUUCAUGCAUUUGUUUUGUUAGUGUUUAUAUUUGUUACGCUAGUGUAUGUAUUGUAGAGUACAAUUCUAGCUCAUGACGAUUAUAAAGGCGCUUACCCUGCAAAGUGUUAAUUGUAAACAUGGGGUCAAGUUCUACCUUAGAUUUUUUUUAUCUGGCAACAAUAUACUCUACUCCUUAGAUGAGGUUGGUCACUUGAUAGAAGUUGGUUUAGGAACUAGGAAGCUUGUGGCCUAACUGGUUUGUGGGUUAAAGAUUGUAUGCUUAAUAGUGGCUAAUAUAAGUAGAUAAUUAUCGAGCAUCCUGCGUCUUUAUGAAAGAUUUGCAUGUGGCAAUUAAGGAAUCUUGCCGACCCUUUACUCUUACUUGCUUCUUGCUCCUUCCCCUUCCCCUUACUCCUCAUUUUAACUUGAGAUAUUUCUCAAAACAAUUAAGUGAACUCACCUAUUCCCAAAUAUAUCUCUAUUCUCGCUAAUUGAAAUUGGGGAACGUGUAGCCUUGUCAUAAUACCUUUCAGAUCAGAGUUAUAUUGCAGUCAAUACUUUUGAUUCAUUUUUAUUGUACAAAACGAGUAUACAUCUCGUUCCACUUAAAUUAGUUAGUAGUGUAAAGAAUUGCUUUGGAGUAACUAAAUUAAGUUCUCUAGUAUAUUAUCUUUUACUUAGGUAAUUAAUGGACUGUACCGGAACACAUGCAGUUCUUUAAUAUUAGAAAGCAGAAAACAUCAACAACAUCCUGGAAUAGAGAAAUUUUGUGAUAAGGGCAUAGACAAUAUACUCAUUACAGAUUUCUUCGGUCUUAUUUAAUUUUAGGUUAUAUGGCAAAUAAAGUAGAUGGGUAAUUUCAUCUCAUAGUACCUUGGCUGAUCAGUUAGCAAUCUAGUAACUUAUCACCUCCUCCUUUUACCACUUUGAGAGAAUGAUGUUGUAUUAUUUUGGAGCUGCUAACUAGAAUUAACCUAUCAAAUAUAUGGCUUUGAACUAGUGUCUUAGGUUAGCUUAGUAUGACUUAUCACAGCUUUUUAGAGAGAAAAAAAUAUUAUUGUUUUGCAUUUUCCUUUUGAAGAAUAGAUCUAAUAAUAGCUAGGGAUGCUUGCCUAUAUACCUGAAAAUGACAAGUGCUUAUUUGAAAUUCUUGGGUGCCUGUGGUUCUAUGUUUAGUACUUCUGUUUUCAAAUACGAUCAGAAACUUAUGACUGAUCUUGACUUGGUUGAAAUUUUAGCUAUAAGCAGGAAAUAGAUGUCAGUAUAAUUAAUUGCAUAAGCAUACAUAUAUAGGUUUAGCUUAUAUACUUUCUUAAAAAGUUUAAAGCUGUAUGAGUAACAUCAGCAUCAACAUUCAAAUUAACAUAGUGCAUGACUUUCACGAACAAGUUCUGGUUGGUAUUAUUGACCUUAUGAUGUGAAGCACAGUGAGAGAGAGAGAAGUACAGAUAGAAUGAACAAUAGGUAUGUUUGUAUACUUUGGCUGAUUCCUAUUGUCAAUGCUGAAGGUCAAUGUAUCCUUAAGUGAUAAUAUUAGAUUAAGUAUUUUUAUGUGCAUACAGGGUAGUCUUGAUUACAAUUUUUGCUUGCGUUAAAUUGAUUCAUGACAAGCAUCAUUGUAUUUAAAUUGUCUAAUUUCUACACUCCAUUAGUUGUAUGACCAUGUGAAUGACCUGUUAAAAAUUAAGCAAGGGAAAUUAAAAGAAAGAGAAAAAAAUACAUGAAUAUGGAGUGCUUUUGCUUUCUUUCUAUAUGCAAUUCCAAAGUAUCCAUCUUAUCAUCUAAUCUUGAUGUGUGAGUUUGAGCACACCUUGUUCAUUGAGAGGAUCAUGAACAAGCUUCUAUAUAGCUAAAUCUGUUUCAAUUUUUGGGUUGUACGUGAUGAUGUUUGCUUGUUAAGUCUGUAAGGUUGGAAGAAUCUUUGAAAUGUAUUGGAGUUUGCUUUGUUAUUUACUGUGCGGCAAUCUUGAUUGAGCCUAUAACAAGCCAAGCUCAAGUCUGUGGCUGAUUUGCAAACCUAGACAAGCAUGAAUGCUCUAGAUCCAGCUCUUAAAAGUGUUUUGUUUUGAAUGUGGACCAAAAGUUUGUGAUACAGCUUCUACUUGUGCUUUUGAUAUUGAUAGCACUAUAUGGGCAUUAUUAUCCUAGCUGAUGCUCUUUUAGGUAGCAUUAAUGUAGCAAUAUGUUAACCAUAAGCAUUGUACUUUCAUAGCUUCCAUAAGUCUUAUGCUAAAAAAUGAAGUAUAUAUACGCCUGAGAGCCUCCACAUAAAAAUCUAUAGAAUGUUUAGUCUGUUGAAAUACCUUUAAUUUCAAGAUCACGAAUAAGAGAUACUUGAAAUGUAUAUUAAUCAAUUCCUGUUUCCUAAAUUUUGUCUGAAUUCAUUACUACCUGAUCUCUCACUCUUUCCUUAUAUCCGCAGGUUCCAGUGGUGUCUUUACAAGGUAAUGGCCUUUCCUUCUAUAAUCAAUUCCAAAGGAUUGAAAAUCUUGGAACUAUCAAUGAACCCUUCGUGCGAGGUAUUCCUACUCUCAUAACAUGGAGCUAUGGUGGUAAUCAUGUGGCUGUGGAAGGAUCUUGGGACAACUGGAGGUCAAGGUGAGCUUGUGUAAUUGUUAUUAAUAACUUUAUAUUCGCAUUCUUUUGUAAUGCACAAUUUGCUUCAUUCUGAUAUGUUUCCUCUUAUGUUCUUAAUUUCUGAUUCUAUAUAGUAAAAUUGGGCAAUUAACUUGCAGGAAGACACUUGACAGAUCUGGUAAAGAUCACACCAUUAUCUUGGUACUGCCAUCAGGAAUAUACCAUUACAAGUUUAUUGUUGAUGGCAGUGUGAAAUAUAUCCCAAAUCUUCCAUAUGAAGCUGAUGGCAUGGGGCAUGUUUGCAAUCUUCUUGAUGUUCAUGUGAGUGAAUUAUGUUACAGUUGGCAUGUCUCUUUACCAUAUUAUGACCCUGCAGACCAACUAGAAACUUCAAAGUUGAAAGUUGCUUAGGUGUUCUCAUGUUCUAUUUUUUUUUCCCUACUCCUUUCUCAUCUUAUUAUGCUCUGUUCUGUUGUCCUUGUGAGUAUGCUUGUGAUAUAACUACUGGCGGUUCUAGUUAUUUGCUUCUGACUAUUAUUUGAAGUGCCAAUAACCCCAUUGGAUUAGCAAUAUCAGUUAGACUACCUCUGUAAUGAUUACUACUUUUGUGUAAUUAUAAUGAUUAAUAUGCAAGCAGGCACAAUAUGACUAAUGUUGACUGUGCAGCACCUUCUGAGUGAAUUGUUAUUUUGAGGGAAAAAAGCCAAGAAACAAAUUCGACUCUAUGUCUCCAUGCCAUAGAGCUACAUGGUGAGCCUUUAGGAUUGGUUUUCACCAUAUCAGUUCCAUUUCCAACCUUUCUUAGGUCUCUUUUAUUUUCCUUUUCAUUAUUCCUAGAUGUUACUUUUUUUUUAAAUGCUACUUAGAUAUUCUUACCAUUUCAUUCUCAACAUGUUUUUUGGUGCAAAUUCGAGUCUUUUCUAUAUGUUUUCUACAAGAAAACCAAGAUCUGAAAUGUUAAAAUCAUUUUCUUGAACUAGAUAGAUGACUUCCUCAGUGCCAUGGCAUUUUAUAUGCCUACAUGCAUCAACAGUUGGCUAGCACUUGAUACUAUUUGAAAGUGCAAGACCCACAGUUGUUCUAUGCAUAUCUGCAUACUUUUUGUUGAAUUAAAUGGAUAAUGGAUGGAGCAAAAGGUUUUCCUUUCUACAAUAUAGACUUACAGAACCUUGAAUAUGAUAAAUCUCUAUGCUUAUAUGAACUCUUACAUUUAACGUGGUUGACCAUGUUGAAUUUCUUGUUAGAAAAUUUAUCAAGGAUAUUUUGUUUAUAUGGAAUAUAAAAAUGCUGACUUACAGGACUUACAGGAAUUUCUUGAAUAUUGUUGUUUGCUGGACUUACAGGAAAAAUGAAAAUUUUAAAAGAUGAUGCGCUAACUACCAAGUUGUUAUUAGAAGAGGUUGCCAUAGGGUGCCUUUUUUCCCUCUGGGAUUUUAGAAAAUUUUGCAAUCUCAAAGAACAGUUUGGUUGAGAGGUGUUUCAUUAGUGAUGAUGUUCUGAGAGAGACUAGGAGACGUCAGAAAUGGUGACAUGCACAUGGGAUUAAAAAUGAACAGAGAGGAAAAUAACCUUUUAAGUUGAAUUUAUUUAACAGAUUACACAAUGGAUAAAUCCAUUUGGCAAAUGUGUGUGUGUUUGUAUGUGCAUGUAAUAAGUUGCUAUAUUUUGACGCCUUAGCCUGUUAAGAAGGGGACAAUGGAAAUGAAAAGGUUGGACGCCUGAUGAGGCAAGUCAUAUACUUAGGUGGAAAUUUAUGUAACAAAAGAAAUAAGAGACUAGUAGAAGGGGUAGCAAACCCUUCUAUGGAAAUGAAGUAGACAAUCUGGUAUUGCACUUGGCUUAUGCUGGGGUUAGCUAUAUUUUAAAACUUGCAUUAGCUUCAGACACAGUUGCUUGAUGUAAGACCAAUCCAAGAUGCAUAAUGCAAGCAUUGAAAGCCAUGUUACAUAAAAUAACUUGUGCUUCUCAAAAUACAUGUCAAAUCUGCGAUAAUAAUAAAUAUCACGGUAUAAAGCUAUAUAUGGAGCAGAUAAUCAAAACCUAAUCUCAUUGACUUUUUUGUAUAGAGUCGCAAUUGAAGAAAACUCCCGGUGAUUGAGAAAAAUCUAGGCUAGUGCUCAUAAAUCCAUCUAUGUAUGGUUACAAAGGAAAGCAGGGAAUAAAAGGACUUCAUUUGUUUGUUAGAAAGACAAAUAGAUCAAGGGUGUAUAAGAAUAGCUCCAUUUAUUGUAGGAACUUAACUUAUGGCACGGAUUAUAAUAUUAACCAAGAUUUUUGGAAAUAGAUAGUUGUCAGAGCAUUCAAAUACUAAGAGUGGGAAGUUAAAAGAAUUCAUAAGCAGAGAGGCUCCUGAAUUCUUAGUUUGAAUUGAAACCCUCUUGGAGCGAGAGGCUUUCAAAUGUAGUUAUUGGAUAUUAAUUUACAGUGACAAAGUUAGAGUUCCAUAUUAGAGUAUUAGAGCAGUCUAUGUAACCUAGGCGUAAAGUUUGUGUUUGAGAGACUCAUGUCUUGAAAUUUUUAGUAGGCAAUGCAAUAUAAAUUGUACUCCUAACUUUUACUGAAAUGACUAACCAUCUUAUAAAGAUGGGAAUGAGAAAACACUAGAUGAAGCCAAUAAAAAUAUAGAAAGAGCAAAAUUAAUCUAAGUUUCCAGUUGAUAACUGGGCCUUCACUUAAGCUAACCAUGAUGAUACAAUCACCAAGUGGUGUAUCCAUCUGGAAGCUACAAUGUGAGAUGACAGACGAAAAGAAAAUAUAAGAAAAUGUAUGAAUUACUAGAUUUCAACAUGCAUUCGCUUCUUGAUAUGCUGCUGUUGUAUAUCCGUCAAUGGUAAAGUUGGAGGUGUGUAUGUUGUAUAUCCCUUAUUUUUCUCUUUUCAUCCGUUUAAAAGUCAUAUUUAGUUACCAAUUAAAAUUUUAUUAUCUCUGACUGCAAGUAUUAAAUAUUACAAUGUGUCACAGACUCACAGAUAACAACUGAUUAGGAAAAUUUCUAUUGCAGUGCAAUUAAACCAUUGAAUCUGAUGCUUCAUUAAUUGUUCAUGAAUAAUGGGAUCAUGUUUUGCUGCCCCUAUAUAUCUGUCUUGGUGUUGUAUACAUUUAUGUAUCUACCCGUAUUUUCUCUUGUAUGGUAAGUAUACAGUGUCAUUUGAGUAUCACAUAUGUCGAUAAGUGGGUGUAGAGGGGGAAACUUUAUGCUUCACCAUUCCCAACAAAAUGAUAGUUCGCUGCUGAAUCACUUGUCCUAUAAUUAUGACAAAUACUGGCAUUCUUCUUGUUUUCCUGGAGAUGGCCUAAUAUUGAGUUUUUCCUAUUUCUUUAGGAGGAUGUCCCGGAGAACUUCGAAGGUGUGAGGGAGUUUGAAGCGCCACCAUCGCCUGACACGAGCUAUAGUCAUAGUUUUCUUAGUGAUGAAGAUUUUGCAAAGGAGCCAGUGGAAGUUCCACCUCAACUCCAGCUGACUGUUCUUGAUACAGGAAAUAGAUGAAGCAGCUUCUUCUUCAACAAAGCCCCAGCAUGUGGUGCUUGACCACCUCUUUAUUGAAAAAGGAUGGGCAUCCCAAUCAGUUCUUGCUCUUGGUUUGACCCACAGGUUUCAAUCCAAAUAUGUAACUGUUGUUCUAUAUAAGCCACUGAACAGGUGAGUCCUCAUGUUACAAUCUACAUGCUCAAAAGCAAGGAGGCUCCCUCUCAAAGUUGCUAUACAAGGCAUGCUCUUAAUAUGACUUCUAAGGUUAUAGCUGUCGGCGACAUGUGCUAUGUUGUAAGAUAUCUUUUAACUUACAGACUUUUGCCACUUAUGUAAAUAUUCAAAUAUCUGUUUGCAUUUAAUGUAACUCUAGCCUCUAGGUAAUGUCAUCAGCGAUGUAGUGAUAUAUGAAGAGCAGAAUAUAAAAUUCUAGAAGAAAUAGCAUAAUUACGACAUAACUUCAGCUGAUGUAUGUGCAUAGUAUAGAGGUUGACUGCCCAUGAAAUUUGAGGAUUUGCUCAAAGCUUCAUGUUUGAAUGAGAACUGGUCCUGUUUCCUUGUGUGAAUUUGGAAACCUUUUUUGGAUUUCACUCCUUUUGAACUUCAAAGAGGCUGGCUUUUUUGGGUUGAUGGUGCUUUUAUUCUGUGUCUUUCUUGUAAGCUAAAGUGAAUAGAUCUUUUUCAAAUGUUCAGCCUGAUCUAGACUUCUUUUAGAGUAAGCUCGUUUAGUAGGUCAGUUCAUGGUCUGCAGCUGUCUUUCUUCUAUUCUGCAAUAAUAGUUGCUAUGGUUAAAACCACCAUUCCUUUAUACUUCUUUCUUGUCUGUUUUCUUGGAGUUUUUGUUGUGGGAGGGAUUGUUUCUUCCCUCUUUCACUGCUUGAGUUUUCUUAUUUCUGGUGGAAACUGAAAAGAGACUAAAAUCUACAUUCUUUGAAGUUUGUUCUCAGCUUUGAAAUGAAAAUGCUCCUUGCCUUUCUUUUUCUUUUUUUUUUGUUUAAGUACUUUUUUUUCAUCCCUAAGUACAUGAAUUAAUGCACUAUAUGAUAAAAUAGUUUAUCAAUAAAUGAAAAACUCACAGUUUAAAGUGUAGCAUAGGAUUUUUUUCGAAAGCAUAACUAUUUUGUACUAAAUCAAACUAAUCAUUUUCUGAAGUUUUGUAGAAACAAUGGUACAGAUAAAAGAUUCUAAGUGAUUAUAAUUAGAGAGGCAGAAAACAAUUAAAUUAAACCUCGGAGGGGUAAAGAAUAAAUCACCGAUCGUAUUGGGAUUUGGGCCUUUAAAUCAUUCAAGCUUAGCAAUGACUUAAUUUGGGCCUUUAAUAUCAUUGGGGCCUUGUUUGGAUUUUGAUUUUCUACAAAAAAAAAUUUACGUUUUUCAUGAACACAUUUCUCAAUUUUUAUUAAUCACAUAAAAUCGUUACAAUACAUUUUUUUUAUAAAAAUUCUAAAAAUAGUAAUAUUAAUUUAUUAUUUAUUAAGCAUUCAUUUAUAUUCAUAAUUUGGCAUAAUACUAAAAUAGAUUUUAAGAACGCUAAUGUUGACAAAAUUUGAUUAAUGUUUAAAACUAAAUGGCGGGUAAAAAUGCUCCUUGUCUUGCUUCUAUUAAAUACAAAAAUAAAAGCUCCUCAUCAUGUUCUUUUUUUUUUUUUUUGUAACUUUCUCAGUGAGCAGCACAUUCUUUGAUUGUUAUUAAGAUUGUUAUUACGAUGAAAGUGUUUUUUAUUUUUAUCUUUUUGUGUUUUUCUUAUCUUAAGACUUUGUUUGGUAGAAUAAUAUUAUGGCUGUCAAUGGGUCGGAUUCUAGUCAAAAUUGAAAAUUUCGCUCCUAAACUCAUUAUAAUGUACCAAUUUCAGAUCUGACCUGUAUAUCCGACGAGUCUUGUGCUUAGGAUCUGGAAGGGUCCGGCAGGUUUCGAUCGAGUCCAGAACUACUCGAAUAAAUAAAGCCCAACAAAAAUAAUGUAUUUAAAAAUAUUUAUAUUAUUGUAUUUAAAAAUAUUGUUGUGUUUAAAAAUAAGGCCCAACAAGAUUAGAAUUUGUUAAUUUGAUAAAAGAAUUAUUAUUGUAUUUAAAAUAUUUAUAUUUUAUAAUUAUUAAUGUAUUAUUCGAGUUCGGUCGAAUCAAAGUUGAAAUUGUAUAUUUCAUAUGCAACUGCUUUUUUGUGAGAGUAAAUAGGCCAGGGUAACAUAAUUAUUUCUUGAUUCUACUCGAAAAAAAAUUAUCGAUCCGAGCCGAGUCCAAAUCCAAAUCCGUCCCAUUGACGGCCCUAAAUAAUAUGACCUUUUCGGUUCUAGUAAUCAGUGCAAAUCUGGCUCGUCCAAGAAAGAGGGUAACGAGGACCAAAACUCGAUAUGCUGAGAAAUACGGAUUACUUUUCAGGAUAAUGCUGCAUUUUCAAGAACAUCUUGGCCGCAUGCAAAUUUGAAUGAAGCGCCGUGCUGGGGAAAUGAGUAUGUGCUUCCACAACAAUUGUUGGUACAUUAAAUCAAGAUUCCAAAAACAUAAAUUUUAUUCAUAUUAUUAUUUAGGGUUAAUUAUAUUUACCUCCCUUGAGGUUUGAUCAUAUUACCAAUUAAUCCCUGUAAUUUGUCCAAAUAACGGUCUCACCCUUUGAAUGAUCAAACAUUUAACAAAAACCCCUUAAUGCCGAAAAUGCCCUUAUUGAGGUCAUGUUGCAUUAAAAAAAGAACAUAUUUUUAUUUAUUAACCCUCAAGCAAUCCAAAAAAAUAGAAAAAAAUUUUUGCUUAUUAUUUUAUAAAAACCAUAUCUUUGGUUCUAGAAAUAGUUUUGAAUCAAUGAUUAUUUUAAAUCUUAAAAAUGAAUAUUAAAAUGAGAUAAAUUGAAAGAAAAAUAAAAAAGAAGAAAUUAGUUUUGGAUUGCUUGAGGGUUAAUAAAUAAAAAUAUGUUCUUUUUUUAAUGCAACAUGACCUCAAUAAGGGCAUUUUCGGCAUUAAGGGGUUUUUGUUAAAUAUUUGAUCAUUCAAAGGGUGAGACCGUUAUUUGGACAAAUUAUAGGGAUUGAUUGAUAAUAUGGUCAAACCUCAGGGGAGGUAAAUGUAAUUAACCCUAUUAUUUAUAUAUUUAGCAGUGGGGUCAAGUUAGUUUUAUCAUAUAGAUAUAGGGCGCCAAACAAAUUUGACUGAAGACGUAGGGCCUGUUUGGAACCCAGUUUUUUGGACAAGUUUUUCACCUACUAGUUUUUUAACAACUUUUGCUACAGGAAUUCCAAAAAACUUUUCAAAAUUUUUUACCUACACACCUCAAAAUAUCCAAAACACACCCAAAAAAAAUUCCCUUCCCUUUUUUCCUUCUUCCUCCCCCAUCCCAACCCAACACCACCGCCGGUUCCCAAAACACACCACCGCCGUUUCGUCCCCCAUCCUGCGCGCGCGUUGCUGCUGGGUCGUGAGCCUGGGCUGCUUCUGGUGCACUGUGGAGAAGAGGAAAAGCUGAGCCUGGGCUGCCUCUGGUCGCGAGCCUGGGCCUGCCAUCAUGCGGCUGGGCUGCAAGGGAAGGGCAGGGCAAAAGGGGAAAGGGAGGGCAGAGGGUGACGGGUGGGAGAAGGGGGAAAAGCGGCGCAAAGGGGUGGCGAGGGAGGGCAGUGGGCGGGGGAAGGGGAAAGGGAAGGCAGAGGGGUGGCCGGGGAGGGCAGUGGCCGGGGAAGGGGGGAAAGGAAGGGCAGAGGGGUGGCGGGGGAGGGCAAUGGGCAGGGGAAGGGGAAAGAGAGGGCAGUGCGGUGGCGGGGGAGGGGAGAGUAGUGGCCGGGGGAGGGGGAAAGGGAGGGCAGAGGGGUGGCCGGGGAGGGCAGUAGGCGGGGGAGGGGGAAAGAGAGGGCAGUGCGGUGGCAAGGGAGGGGAGGGCGGUGGCGGGGAGGGGGGAAAGGGAGUUGCUGGUGCAAGGUAACAGGGAAGGGGAACGGGGAAGCAAGAAGAAGAAGAAGAAGAGAGGAAAGAAAAGGAAAGAAAGAAAAAGAAAGAGAAAGAGAAAAGAAAGAAAAAAAAAGAAAAAGAAAAAGAAAAAAAAUUUCACCUUACAAAAACUUCUACGAAAAAUUUUUUUCACCUUAUAAAAAUUUCUACAAAAUUUUUUUAAAAACUUCUACAGUGCACUACAGUAAAGUUUUAGACAAACUCCCAAAAAACUCAGGUUCCAAACAGGCCCGUAGUUAGUGCCUGCCCUUGCCGGGGAAAUGAGUCUGUGCUUGUAUAACAAUUGUUGGCAUAUUAAAUCAAAUUUCAAAAAUAGAAAAUUUCAUAUUAUUAUUUAUUUAGCAUGGGGUCAAGUUAGUUUUAUUAUAUAGAUAGAAAUUGCUAUUUUAUUAGGUAAUUUAUCACGGUUAUCAAGAUUCAUUUACCAGAUUGUAUUAUUCUAAUAAGUGAAAUUUUGAAAAUAUUAUUUUUAUGGUAUUAUUCCUCUUAUCCCACACAUACACAUCUUAUAUGCAUGUAAAUUGCCUCCCCUCGUAUAUGUGCGAGUGUAUGAAAUUUUAAUCUCCCCACUCUUAUGAUUCUCUUCGGGUUCUUUAAUAAUUUUUGAUCAGCCGACACAAGUCUGUUUACUUGCUAAAAAUAUAUCACUUUUUUAUAAAAAAUCGUGUGUUCGAAUCCCGUUAUCAAUGUGAGAGUUACGUUGGUGUACGAGACCUAUAGUUCCAAUCACAAGUGCCGGGCACACCCAAACUUUUUUUUAACCAAAAAUAAUAAUAUUUCUUGAUCAGGCCUCGUUGACUGGGAAAAGGUCUAGGAUAUGGUCAAAUGGUGGCCCUAUGCCUAUCCAACGGACGGAUGCCAACGGAGGUGCACUUUGACAUGACUCCAAUUUAUCAUCAUCGUGAGGAACGGAAAUAUUUAAUUAUAUACUAGCAAUUAUUGUCAGUAAAGAAUGCUUGCUCCAGUGCCAGCGUUCACUUUAAGAAUCAUCAGGAAGGUUACAACGAAAGAGCACUUCCGAAGAAUCUCAGGUGCUUCCUUGCGUUCUCUCCAAGGAUGGCGGCUGAGCUGCACCAUACAACUUCAUUUUGUUGCAUGUGGCCGCUCCAGUUUCCACCUUCCAGUCAAUGCUUUUUGAAACAUAUAUAAACACGGCGGUCUGCAGCGUGAUUCGUACGUCCUACAUCCUGCCUCACCCUUGCCACGCUACAUCAUUCACAAUCGCUAAGCUCUUUGGUUUUUCUUUUUUCUUGGUUAAGCAUUUCUUCAACCUGAAAUGGAGAUGGACAAGGAUAUUGUGAUAGUUGGCGCAGGGAUUUCCGGCCUCGCCACAUCUUUAGGCCUGCACAGGUAACAACGCUCUAUGUAUUACUGUUUGUUAAGGUUUCACAAGUCAUGAAAGAAUUAACUCUGAUAUAAUCAUAGGCCAUAGAUUGGCUGGCUGGAUCUACACAGAGAGCUUCCUUUGAGUUUUUCUUUUGCACCUUGUUUUAGGUAUGGAUUGCAGAGCUUAGUUUUGGAAUCAUCAGAGAGUUUAAGAACGACAGGAUUUGCUCUUACCCUGUGGACCAAUGCGUGGAGAUCACUGGAUGCUCUGGGUGUUGGAGAUUACCUUAGACAGCUUUCUCUGGCAUUCCGUGGGUGAGAUAAGAUAAUCGUUGCUCGUAUUGCUUGAUUUCUGUGGCUGCCUUACAUUAUUAAUUUUCGAAAUCAAUCACAAAAUUCAAGAUCGUAUGUCAAUUAUAAUCUCAUCCCUUUUUCUUCUCUGAUGGUAAUUCAGGUUUCAAAUAGCUAAUGUAGAUACAGGCCUGCCAAGUGGAGAGGUUUUACUUGAAGAAAGUACAUAGUGAGUCAUCCUUGAACAACAUUACACCUUCUUUGUACUACUUGUAUAUGCAACAAGAGUAAGAUAGCACCACUUCGGUCUGAAUUAUGCCAGUUAGUUUAUAGUUGUGACAGUGUAAUAGCAAGCAAAACAGGUGAAUUAAUGGAAAAGUUCAUAGAUCCCAUGCUAUCAUUGGUUAAACAUAAAUCUAACUCCAGCCUCACCUGUGCUGGUUUAUUGUAUCCAAGCCCUGUAAUGUAUGUUUCUCAACUCAAAUUCAAUCAAAUUUGGUGCAUGAACUCGCUUUCAAAAGAUAAAAUUUAGAUGUCUAAGGAUGUUCUAUGCCUCGAUUUGCAGCGGAAAUUAUGAAGCCCGAUGUGUCAGAAGAAAAGACUUACUACAAACCUUAGCAAAAGAGCUGCCAGAGGGGACUAUCAGGUAUUCUUCCAAGGUUGUUUCAAUUGAGGAAUCAGGACAUUUAAAGUUGGUGCACCUGGCCGAUGGCUGUGUGAUCCGGGCUAAGGUAAAUGCCAUGUUACUUGCAUAGAGCGAGCAUUCUGCCUUUGUACCUCAUCAAAAUAGAUUUGUAAGCUGGUGGCAUAGUUGAUUUUUGUCACCUGAUAGGUAUAUUCUAUAAAUGUAAAUCUGUCUUCUGAAUCAUCAAAAGAAUUUCUGGAUAUUAUGAUCUAACCAGUGCAUCUAAUUUUAGGUCUUGAUUGGCUGCGAUGGAGUCAAUUCAGUUGUGGCGAAGUGGUUAGGUUUUAAGAAACCGAUCAGAGUUGGGCGAUCAGCAAUUAGGGGAUAUGUGGAGUUUCCGGCUGCCCAUGGCUUUAAGCCACAAAUCUAUGCAAUUUUGGAGGUGGGUUCGCUUUGGAUUUGCUCCUUGUGAUGACAAAAGCAUAUAUUGGUUUUGCACUUUCAAACCAUCCACUGCAACAGGUAAGCAACUCUGGCAUCCUAAAAUCCUGUAACACCACCUAUUUAAACAUCAUUUGUGUUGAGCAAAUCACGAAGUGGAAAUGCAAUAUCAGUCUAAUUUUUUCUCAAGUGUGCUAGAUUUAAAAGGACUUUGCUGGUUCCGCAAUUCCUAUCUAGUUCAUGAUAGCUCCACCAUUAUCGUCGUUUUUGCUUAUGUCUUGAAAUUUAACGGCAGGGCAUGAAAAUAUGUCAGACAAUCCGGUUCUACUAAAGGAAUUUGUAUUAAGAAAGACAGCCAACGUUCCAAAGGAAGUGUAUGGCAUUGUUGAAAGAACUGAGCUCGAAUCAAUCUCCUGUGCUGAGCUAAAAAUGAGACUGCCAUGGGAUAUUUUGAUAAGGGACUUCGCAAAAAGCAGCAUUUGUGUUUGGUUGGUGAUGCCCUUCAUCCGAUGACCCCAGACCUUGGACAGGGUGGUUCUUCAGCAUUAGAAGACUGUAUCAUGCUUGCCAGAUGCAUCGAGAAUGCUUUCGAAGAUGACAAGUAGAAAAUUUGGAGAGGAAAAGGAAGAUGUCAACGUUAAAAUGGCAGCAUUCAACAAGGGCCUGGAGAACUAUGCUAAAGAGAGGAGAUGGAGAAGCUUUAGUCUCAUUGCUACUGCCUUUGUCGUUGGUUUCAUUCAAGAGAGUGACAAUAAGUUCAUCGUUUUUUGAGGGAAAGGUUCUUGUCAAAAUAUACUGUUCCCACUCUGUUGUGGAUGGCUGAUUUUGAUUGUGGAAAACUUAAUAUUCCUUGAGAUGGAGCUGAAGUGCAUCCAUCCAUCCACCUCGAAUGUGUUUGAAAAAUAAAUUAACCAGGUUCUAAUAACCUUGCAUUAAUUUAUCUGUUAGUAUGUUGGUAGAGGGCCAUUUGUAUCCUUUUAUAGCACCAGAGGCGUACAAGGUGUCAGGAUCCGGUCUGGGGUGAUGAUGUGAACACAGAGUCUCUAAGUGUGGAGCUACUUGCUCGUUAAAGGGGCUGUCCAAGUCGUUUGGAAGGAAAAGAUUAUGGACCAAAAUUUUCAGCUCAAGUUUCAUUAGUUUAGUCAUUAGUUCAUUUGUUAUUUUGGGUUGAAUUUUUAGUUAAUAAUCGGACCAGCCCUUAUGCUUGGAUUCAUGAUCUUAGGUUAGGUUUUAUGGGCCAAGUUUCAAGAUGCAUUAGUUGUGUCUUUUGCAUUACGAUAUAAGAAACGAUAAAAGCUUUGUUUUUUCCUCUGUCAAUGGUAGAUUAUGACCUAUUUUCAGAACAUCGUUUCUUGAGAGUUGCUCUAGGGACUCCACGAACCUUUCUUGAACAUCUAGAAUCGUUUAUUAGUGUUUCGUCGGUUUAUCAAUCAAGUUUAUCAUCGUUGAUUGUGGUGGCGCCUCCUAACAAUUUCUAGAGUUUGCUAAUUCGUAAGAUUAAGGGUCGAGAUAGUAUCAAAAUUCCAAUCACGGGGAUUGAGGGUCCGGAAUAAAAAAUUUCUAACUUAUAUUGGCAGCCCUACAUUAUUCACUCAAAACAUAUUUCCCAAAAUUGUCUAAACCAUAGCAUUUGUUUACCACAAAUACAAAUGUUAGAAUUGUUACUUGACCAAAUUAGGCAGGGAUUUUGUAUAUUAACUUCAAAAAAAAACAUGAAAUUUUGCUGUAUAUAGUGUUAAACAGGCAAAUCCAUUUAUUCUUGAAGACAAAUAAUAGGACCAUAAUAAGAGCGGAUUGAGGAAGAUUUUAGCACUAUUUCACAGCACCACACAAGGAAACCGAUCCCAUUUACCUCUUCUCCUGCCUACCAGAACCAAUUCCAUUAGUGUUUGAGUAGCUUGCUGCUUGAUUCUUUUGCCUUUCCCGCUUCCUGCAUUGGCAAUUCAAUUAGGGUUUAUAAGGCAUAUAAGUAUACUACUUAUAAAGAUGUAGUAAUUUGUUUGGUAUGAGUUUUUUUUGUAAUUUCUAAUUGCUUCUCUAAUAUUGUUGUGAUGGGACACGCAAGGUAAAAAAAAAAUCAAUGAAGUAAAUCCAUUUCAAGUUGCAAAGAAUAACUGUUAAUCUUGGAAUUUACCUUGGACCAAAUCAAGAAAAAGUUUUGACUUGCGUUACAUCCAAAAUCUUUGUCAAAAUUACAGCUAAUGUUACUAUUUUUAAUGUGACAAAUAAGGCGAGAGUAACAUCAUAAGUCAAAAUCAUAGAUUAUUAAUCGUAAGUUAUUGACAAAAUGAAUGAAGCUAAGUCGUUCACCUGGGCACAAGUCCUACACAUGCAACCAAAAGCAAAAAAUCAAAUAUCUACGCGCGCAGAACAAGAACAUAGAUAAAAAGGUGGCUGGGAAUAUAAAAAGGUAGGUUGGGAAUGUGUCUAUGAUGCAAGCGAAAAUUUUUUUGAAAAAUUUGUUAGCCAUACAAUCCCAUAUGCAUACAUUAUGUGUAUACACAUAUAUAUACAGACACAGACAUAUACAUAUAUACACACAUACACACAAUCAUGCAAAAGAAGUAUUCCAAAUUAUUAGAGUAAUAUAAAUAUCGAACAUAAGUGAAGAUAUAUUCUUUAUUAAUAAAUGCAUUAAUCUGUAAAAACAUGCUUUCUUAAUAUGGCUAGAAUGAGUUAAAUAAAAAGAUAAGAAUAAUGUUAAUAGAAUGUACUGCUAAAACCACAAAUAUAAUAUGAGUUUUAAUAUUUUUCAAAAUGUUUUUAUUUUACUUUAUGGCCAAAUUGUACUGUCAAUCUUUUUUAACUUGCAAAUACUAUAAAAGUACGAGGCCUAAACAGAUAAGAAAAGAUUGAACAAGCAACAAAAUUUGAGAAAAUUUUUUAAAAUCUUUUCCACCAGUCAAUUACCAUUUAGACUUGAGAAAAAAAAAUUUUUAAGUAGGAUAAGAAAAAUAUAUAUAAUGUGGCGGUUUGAUUAUGUGAAGUAAAAAAAAAAAGUGAUUGAAAAAUUUAUUCACCAAAAAAAUAUAAAAUUUUUUUAAUAAAAGCAACCUAAACAAGAAAUUUCGAGUAAAAAGGCUCAUUGUUUGUCCCUCUAUUAUGUAGAAAAAUAAAAUGCUCCUUGACAUCGUUGUUUAUUUUUUUCAUUUUCUUUCUUUGUUGUUUAAGUACUUUUGUUUUUGUCCCUAAACUACCACAAUUAAUAUACUGUAUGAUAGAAUAGUUUAUUAAUAAUGAGAAAUUCAGUAUUUAAAGUCUUAAUAUAUAAUUUAUUUCGUAAGCAUCAUUGUCGUCUACCUUAAAUCAAAGUAUAAUCCACCCAAAUCUUUCAAAGGCACUCAAUUGGAUCUAUGUCUGGCCUUUUAUGUGAUUUAAGCCUAGUAAAGACCUUUUAAUUUAUUAUAUUUUGGUCCCAAUAAAAAAAAAACUUGAUAAAAUAGACUAAGCAUUCAUUUAUUUCCAUUUAUUAUUUCACGUUAGCGGUAAGGGAAUGAUUAAGUGUGAGUUAAACUGGCAAGCAUAGACUAUAAAAGAAUUGUUCUGAUACUUACUUUUUGACAAAACAAAUGAAAAAAUAUAAGUACUGUAUUCAUAAAAAUAAAAAGAAAGGUCAACGUCUAUUGAAAUUUUGGAACAUUUUAUUUACCUUUCAGAAAAUUCAAAAAGUAUUACUUUAUUGUAAAAAAUAAAAUUAUUUUGUGAAAAAAUAACAGAGUACUCAAGGACUCAAAUUUACAGAUUUUUUCACUUGAAUACUUGGUGGUCAAGACUAAUCCAACUCAUAUUAUUUAAGAAAUUAAAGCAUAAAAACAUAUAAUCACACCUUCAUACAGAAUAGACUUGGCAAAAGUAAUAGCAAUUCCUACCUGCAUUUUUAGUGAACUUUAGGCACGCUUAUGCAAGAAAAGCAUUUCUCCAUAUAUUUGUUAGGCUGAGAUUCUUUCUUUUCCAAUUAAGUUGGUUUUCCUCCAUAAUCUUCCUUCAUUUGCUGUAUGCAAGAAAGCAUAAUUAUAGAAUUAAACCCUUUAACCUCAUCGCGGGCGAUCGAACCCUAAUUUCUAAUUUAGAGAAAAAAGAAAAAAUUGAGUGACAAAUUUGAAGACACUUUUGUAGAAGAAAAUGGUACUCCAUUUGGUUUACAGAAGAUUAACAAAUCCUCUUGAGAAUAAAGGGCAAAGGUGUGGUGUUACCAAAUCCUCUUGAGAAUAAUUUGAAAGUUCUUUCACUAUCAUACAAACAAGAAAACCUACCAAAAGUUUGUUCUGAAAAGUCAAUUUAUUAGAUCAAAAGAUGGCCAAUUGAAAGUAGACACUUGGGGAGGAAAAACACCCAUUUUGUUCAGCUUUUUCAACUGUCCCUUUUUCACUUUUCUUUCCACUUGUAGGAGAGGAGGGCAUGAGUCAAAGAAAGCAAGCUUAUGCAAGACCAUUCUCUUGUUAAAGAAAAUUAAAAAAAAUUUGGUUUUUACUAUGAAAUAUGGAAAUUAAUUGAGUGUGUUUGGAUAGGAGAUUGUUUCGAAUAAUUUUUUGAAAAAAAAAUAAUGUAACUUUUUUAUGAUAUGACAUGCACCUAAGAUUAAAAAGUGAUUGAAAAUAUUUUUUUUAAAAAAAAUAGCUACAAACGUGUUUAUGAUACAAUCAUAUAAUUUUUUGCAAAUAAAAACAUAAUAUGUCUGAAAAUGCUUGAAGAACUAAAAGUUCCGGAAACUCAAAUAGAUACUUCCUUCUUCCUCUUGUGCGCUGUCACUUCCGUGUGUAAAUAGAAUACCAUAGAAUAGAAUAGAAUUUGUUCCCAAUGAUCAAAUCAAUGGUUCUGGAAAUCGAAAAUUCUUGUUUACUUUUAUAGAUUCACUUUGACUAAAAGAUUAAAACAUCUACCAAAAAGUAAUUUUGAACCAUUUUUUUCCGAAUAUUCCCUAAACCCAUUUUCUAAUCUCACUUACAAAAUUAUUUCUUAAAAAGUCCACUUAUAAAAAGCGAUUGAAAAUCACAAUAUUUUUAAACGAUAGAAAAAAAUAUGGAAUCCCUAAAAUCAAAGAAGCGGACCAUCUUUUAGUUUAUUUCUAUCGUUUAAGCCAUAUUUUCGCUCUAUACAGGACUCUCCUUUCUUAAAAGUGCAAUCCAAGCAACGCUAAGGUACUAACUUAAAAGGCACUUCCAAAAUAGGCAAUUCCCAAUCAUAUCGUAGCAAUUUUGUGAAAAUAGGGAUUGGCAAUUCCGUUUGCGAAAAUAGGGAUUCGAAAUUCCGAUAGCAUGACCUUCUAUGAAAUACUCCAAAUCACCACACUAAUGCGGACGUAUUGCAGCAGAAGUUUUUGUUAUGCUUGCCUUUUAAGGCUGAGAUCACUAAUGCUUUUUGUAGUCCAAAACUUUAAUUUUCAUUUUUGUAGAUUCACUUGUUUUAAAACAUUUAUCAAGAAAACUCAGUGUUUAGUUUUGGCCUUUCAAAUUUCCCAAAAAUUAUCACAGAAUUUUAUGAACAUAAACGCAUUCGAAAUUCCGAUAAGUUGACCCAAAAAUGUGAUCCAACUUAAUGGCUACACUUUGUCACGGAGAUACUAGAUUUUAUUCCAAACCUUUACAGCUUUGGAAAAAGCUGAAACAAUUGGAGGAAUCCACACCUGUGUAUCAUAUGCCAUCUUCAAGUGCAGCAUCUACCUCUGCAUUUUUUUUCAUCUUAAAAGGAGAACCAAAUGCUUUACCCCACGGUGGCCCCCCAAAGACUCAGAGAAUCCCAUGGAAAAAAAAAAGUCACUUAGCCCUUGCAAUGAAGAUAUGCCAUAUUGGCCCCAAAGAGAUUAGACAUUUAUGCUCUUUAGCUCAAUCCAAAAGCCUUGAACCAGUGGAGAUGACCACUUCAUGAUAGCUUUUCUUAGGUGUCACCACUAUUAAGUCCAAUCCGUUCACCUCCUUUUCCCUCUUGUUAUCAUAUCUUGGAAAACUUCCCAUUUUAAAAGUGAAAAUGGGGAUCUUUUGUUUUUGUUUUUUUUUUCGAAAUAACAAGAUUUAUGGUAACAAUGGAUACGAAAAUCUUGCCCCAAAAUUUGGAUGUGCCAAAAAGGUCCUGAGAUUGUUUGCUUUGAUAAAGUGAAGUUCACCCUCAAAAGAGAUUACAAAUUGAACUGAUGAUGGACCCAAUAAAGUUGGAAAGAGAAGUUUAACCUUCAGCUACCCAACUAGCAACUCCAAAGUAGAUCCACCACUAUCCUAUAGCUUCCACAACUUCUUGUUCUGAGCAUCAUAUGUACUCACAAAGGUAUUCAAAUGCCUUUCUAAAGCAGUUUGCAAAAAAGAUGAAAGAACAGUUGAUACCCUUCUCAAACAAUUGCAGGGAGAUGAUAACCACAAAUUCCAAUAAUGAUUACACCCACAAGACAAAAGUAUGAGUUGAAUGAGAAAGGAGAGCUAAAAAGAAGACGAGUAACUAGAAUACAUAAACCAUCAAAUAUCAACAAAAAUUUGUCACUUGUACGCAAAGAAAUCGAAUUUCCCCAAUUGUUCUAGGUUCAUAAUCCUAAAUGUGGAAAGAAAAUACCAGGAUUACUGACAGCCCAAACGACUAAAUCAGGGGAAAAGAGCAACAAGCAUAUACCGAAGAACAACACUACAAAACAAUGCAAACAGGAAAACAAGCACGCACCGCCAAUGAAAGCUAAUAAAUAGUACCAAAUGAACGCGUCCUAACCAGCAGUAGAAAUUUAACUGUUUUGCCUUUUUUGGGGGUCUUUUUUAACUGCUUAAAGAUUGUAGUUAUGGGUUGAUCAGUUCUCACUUGGCCAUCAUGACCUUGACAAACUCCUCGUAGUUGAUCUGGCCAUCACCAUCCACAUCAGCUUCGCGGAUCAUCUCGUCAACCUCCUCGUCUGUAAG